CAAUAAAUUAUUUGGUAAUUAUUUGCUUUGAACAGGGACUACGUUGUACAAAAUUUGAGCAUUAGCUAUCUCGAUGAAUGCAAUAUUGAACUGGCAAAAUGUUACGGGUAGCAGAUUGAUAGAGUUGUCUUUUCAAACAAAAACGCAGUAAAAUCAAUAGUCUCUAAAUCACAAAAGUAUGUCACAUACGACACCGCUAUUCUAACUUGCUAAUGAUAUAAAUAUAUCCAACAAAUAAACCAACCAGCUAACAUUUAUCCCAUUAAGGAAGAAAAAUUAUCAACAAAAAUACAUUAUCCCAAUAGGAAUGUUAUUUGGCUCGUCCAUGAAGCAACACUAAUAAGGAAGAAACAUUAUCGAUGAAAACAAAAUACCUAAAUUUCAGGAACCUUUGAAACAAUCAUGAGAACUUAGAGGACCACCAGAUGGAAGAAAAAUAAAGAAAUCUGUCAUAUCUUAUAAUUAAUAAAAUCUCAUCCACCUUGCCAACCCCAUAAAUUAUAUGAAUAAAAGAUUUGUCCUAACAGUUGGGAUGCCACCAGUGUUUUCAAAGUUCCCGCCUCGAGAGUUAUAAAACAUAUUAAAAGUGCUUUGCAUGCUUUCUCAAUCUCCAAGGAAACUUUUUUGUCUAAGAACCAAUUAAUGACUUUAUUCCGUUUUCAAGAAUGAAUUUUAAAUCUCAAAUUUUCUAGAUCAAACAUCACAAGAAUCCAAUUUCCAAGGUUCUUAACCCACAAAAGAAUAUUAAAGAAAUAAGUCAAGCAAAACCAGCAGUGAUCCCAACUCCAAAAAAGAAGCAUGUUAUACGUUUUCUAUGAGCAGGGAAUAUAGACUAUGGUCUUCUCAAAAUACUAAGAAGAAAAAAGCCAUUUUGAACACAAUAUUAAUCAUCUCCAUUCUGAUGUAAUUCGCUGAUCUACUUAGAAAUUAUUGGUUUUACAAUUGCAUAGAUGUUGGGAAGUUAUAAAACUAGUUUUAGAUGGUAUAUCAGUUACUACCAAUUCUGUCUAUAUCAACUACUCCUUUACAGCGUAUAAGUUAAUCCAUAGCAAAUCAUUCAGAGAUAUAUUCAAUUGCAGCAGGUUAAGGUCAAUAAGUGCACUUAAUUUGCUGAUCUUGAGCACAAGCAAUUUCAUUAUCUAAUAUGUCAACAUUUAAUAAUGGGAUCCAAUCAGAUUACUCUAAAGCAGGGUCUCAACAAGAAUGAGAUAAAAGUCAGAAAAAUCAACAUUCCCUGCAAGCAUACAUAUACAUAAAUAUGUGUAUAUAUAUUCAAGUUUAAGCAUACCUCUGAAAUAUCUGCAGUAAGUUUUUCCCAAUUCUCAAUCAACUGAUAUAGCAUCCCUGUGGGGAGAUCCCUACAUAAUUUCCAUUUUCCAAUCAAAAUUGAAUGUAUUUGAUUGAAUAGACAAAUAAAGAAGAAAGGAAUAUUUCAAAUUAAUCCCAACAAUUAUUAGCAUGACUGUUGUGAUGCCAUCGUGAUUUUUGGUUAGAAUACUUGGCGUCCUGCUCCUCUUCAUUUCAGAACUUAAUAGUUUAGUAUUUCUGUCCUAUUAAAUUCGGGAAAUAGAAUACUUCAUAACUUGGUCUUGCCGAUAUAAGCGAAUAGAUAUGCUUUAGAUAUUAUCUUUCACAUAGCAAAUAGAUUUUAUUGCUUCCCUACAUAUCAUUCUCAUAUACUGCUUAACUAUGCUCUCAGGAAAAAAUAUUAACCUACACCAACGAGCUUUUCUAAAAGAAGACAAGCAUCAUAUCCUAGCUACCUCACUUUGCGUACUAUCUGGCUAAUAAAACCACCGCUUUGCAUGAUGGAAUAUUGUUGACAGGAAUCAUUUGUCGAAGACAAACCACAAUAUCUUUCAUCCCCAACAUGACAAUCAGAACCCCUUGACAGGUUCAAAUCUUGAUUGAGAGCUUCACAUAACAAAUCCAAUAGUCGCACUCUGCUAUAUUUUCCAGCUUCAUAUAGGCACUGAAAAAAGGAAAAAUCAGGAUGAACUCCAACUUAUCCUUAACGACAACUACUUCCUGAACAAUUUCAUCAGAAAAAGAUAAAUAAAAAUAUUCAGUAACAAUAUAAUGUAAAAAAAACUUAUUUCAGUUUCUACUGUCAGCAAUUUAUCAGUUACAAUCCAAAUAGAUUAUCAAAGGAGUUUUAAAAGCAAUGGAAUUUGACCAAUUAGAGUCCACAGGGUCAAAAAGCAACUGCUAAAUAUUACCAGAACUGCAGUACUCCAUAGCUUCUGCUUUGUCACCAAUUCUGACAAACCCUCAGCGGUGCUCUGUUUAGUGUGAUGAUCAGUAAUUUGAUUCCUAGAUUAAUGUUAACCAAGGGUUGAAGUCAUUGUCUAACAAAUCUAAAUUAGAUAAAAAAAAAUUGCAAACUGUAAUACCUUGCAUACAACGGAAGUUCGUCUAUGUAUUUCAGCAGAGUCUCAGGUGAUAGUGCAGAUUUUCUCACCUGACAAUCCAACAUAAAAGAAACAGGAACAUGAUAAAAAUUAUUCAAAACGACUGAUAAGAAAAAUUCUACACAACGCAAGUUUCUGAUAUAAAUCAUUAAAUGUGUUCAUUGGCAAUGGUUGGAACCGAAGGAAGUGAACACUCCUAUCAAUAUUGCUAGUGUUGAAAAUUGCAUAUAUCGACUGUGCAGUUAAGUCUCUUAUUAUGGCUCGGUACAGUUAAUCAUUGGAGUAAUCAAGGAGAUAGUGAUGUCAAUACGGAUCAUACACUACACAACUAGAAAGAUAAUUCAAAAAUUAGAAAAGUUCAAGACAAACUUUCUGAUCUUCAGCUAGUGCUCGUCCAUGUAAGAGACUUAGAGGUUCCGUUGAGAAAUGUAAUAAGCAAGCUACCUGAAAUAUAUAGUCACAAAACAUAUCAUGCAAAAGAUAGGUUAUAUACCCGUUUACUGCAUAAAAAUUUCAUACAAUGAAGAUACAGAACACUCAGACAAUCAGUAACCCAAAAACUGCAUUAUUAACCUUCAGAGCUCUAAUAAAGGAUGUUAUUGUCCCAUCCUGGUUGAUGAAGUAGUUUCUUAGGAAGACUGCCACUUUAUGACCAAUACUAAACAUGGUGCAAUGUUUCACGAGAACAGCCUCAACAACUGCAUCCAUUCUCUCAGCUGGUGCUCCAAGCUUAAAACUAGAGGGACACAAAUGCUCAAGAGCAUGUGAUGGCAGAAUGUUUCUCAGGGUAUCCACUGUCGUUGCAACUCCAAAUAUGAAGAUAAUUGGAACCUUGACAAUCCAUUCACUGAGGAAAAAGAUGAAGAAAAUGAAAGCCGCUUCAUAUCAUCUAAGCAAAGCUCACCAUUAUACAUUAAAAUAAUUAAACAGAUAUUACAAUCUCCAAAUGUCAAAAAAAUAUAUAAGGAACACAUAAGCAGGAGGCCUGAACAGUUUUGGACAGAACAAAAUAGCAUAAUUUAAUUCCGUAGCCAACCCCACCUAAUGGGAAAAGGCUUUAAUUGUUGUUGUUGUAUAUACAUGGUAAGGCCUCGAUCACAUUUUACCUAACCAAUAGAAUAACCAAUAAAAUAUUCAAGAUGCACAUAUCAAACCACAUUGCAAAUAUACAUAAACAUUCUAGCAAAAAGAUGCCUAAACAUACCUCAACAUCAAGAUAAAAUCAGUUAAGACUGGUCCAGAACAUCUCCCCAAAUCAUUAAUGAUCAGCACCAGUGGUUUAUUGUAGUUUACGUGUUCUCUAUACCAUGAUGCUAAGAUUGAUAUAUCUGCUGACUGCCCACAUAGAAUUAAGAAAAGGUAAAGGAGACGACACAAAUGAAAUAUAACAAUUUAAUUAUAAAUAAUAAACAAGUGCAGAACUGAAGAAGCACCCACAUCAAUAGCACAUCCAAGAAACUCUCGCAAUAGAGCUUUCAAGCAACCAGAAAUCCCAUUUUUCAAUGAAAACUCCAUUGACGAAAGCUUAGCCACAUGACAUCCAUGGGAUUUCAAGAAAUGGCCAAGCUCUUCAAAUGUCAAUAUAUCAUCAACGAACUCUAUGUUUCCUGCCAAUCAUACAUAAUUCAAUAUCAAAACAUUUUUGGAAAUACAAACAUUGUUUUCGCUCCUCAAAGCAUUCAGGGGAUUUACAAGAAUUGUGAACACACUUACUGGUGACAACGAAGGCAGUGAACAACUUCCCAGGAGUAGUAUUAUUUAGAACAGGAAAAGACCGAGUUGCUUCAGCAAUAGUAUGUUGUCCAAGCAACUUAGUAGUGUUGAAGCACUCCAGAACCCAUUGUUGUAUAUCAUCAAAUACACUGGCAUUGAGAUCUCUUAAAACAUCCUGCAGUAUAAAUAAGACUCUUCCUUAAUUUUCUUGCUGUAUCACUUAAGGGUAAAGAAUGAAAAUAAAUUCAGUGCGCACACCAAAACCAAUAGCAGUAAGGUGCAAGGUCUGGUAGAAGAAACAAAGGACCUUAAUAGUAGAUUCAAUCUUUGCCCAAACAAUUUCAAAAGCUUCAAUCUGCAGUUGCUGAAACAAAUGGAGAUCACAUUCCUCUGUCAUACUUCCUCCCAACUUCUUUGCACUUUGUGGUGAUGAAGAUAACUCAUUUCUCUUGCACAACUUUGCCUGUGCAGUUGGUGUUCUAUCUUUUCUCCGAGAUGAAGCUUUAUGAAGAACAAAGAACGGCUAAUGAAAAGAACCCAAAAGAAGAUUAAAUCAGCACUCUUCCCGUAUUAGAUCGGACAUAAAAUCAAACUAAUACUAAAACCGACUUCUACAAAUUACACUUUGUUCUUUUCUGGCUCUCCCCCGUAUUGUAAAGAAUAUUAACCAAUAGACAUCACAUGACUUGGAUUAGAAAAAACGAAGACCUGUAACUACCACUGCAGCAAUGGAUUGAAGACACCGAUCCAUGAUGACAACAUUUUUAGAGGCUUAACUCAAAUUUUCACUUGUUAUGUUAUGAUACGCAAAAUGAAUUACUACUAAACAAUGACUGUAACUGCAUUCAUAAAUAUUCAUCAUGCAUUUGAAAUUAAUCAAGUUACUGAUACAUAUUUCAAAGCAAAACAACAAUUUAAUUUCCAAACACAAACCAAAUACUAAAGUAAAACCUAGUUACGAGUUGAAAGGACGAAAACAAAAGAGACAGCGACGCUAUCAUUCUCACGAGAUACAAAAUCAGAAACCGAUACAAUCAACUUGAGCAGUUACAAUCAAGAUCGAUAAGAUAAAGCCGAGAAAAAGAACACGCACGCCACUCAUCAAUAAGAUAGAUACACACACCAAAUCGAAGACUAUAACUCAAUAAACAUGUAUGGAGAACAGUGAGUUUUCACUGGUCAUUUACAGUGAAGCGACAUUCGAAAUUAUUGUGUAAAAUGAAACAGUGUUGAGUAGAACAAAGGCAAAUCGGUGAGCAAUGUUGAUAAUAAUCAGAGAGUUAUGGAAAGAAGAAAGGAAAAGGAAAAGAGAGAACCCGAAGAUCGUUCUCUUCAACUUCCGGCGUUGUUGACGGAGGAAUCGAAUCGGUAACACUUCGAGAAGGUGCCAUCGAAUAGAGAUUUGAAAUCUGCUAUGGACACGCGCGCAGAGAGAGAGGGGAAAGGAAAGUGGGGGGAACUAUGUGAAGAAGAGAGUCUCUCUUAUGGCGGGAAAAUCACAAGGGUAGUUAUGGGAAGUAAUAUUCCACAUUCCCGUUACAGCGUUUCUUUUCUAAUUUUACACUAACUUCUUUUAUGCCCUUUUAAUUAUUUUUUUCCUUUUUACAUUAUACAUUAAAUUUAUAUUUUUUUAUUUUCUUUCUUUAUCUUUUUCUAUAUUAUGUUUAGUUAAUUUUUUUCUCCAUUGUGAAUUUAAAUAUUUUUAGUUAAUUUUUUAUUAAAAAAUUAUUAUAUUGAGUCGUAGUCAUUAUUUAUGUGUCUCAAAGAAUAAAAAAAAUGGAAUAAUUAAGUCAAAGUCUUAUAAUAGAUCAACAUCACUUUUAAUCUAAAAAUUUUAAAUAAUGAAUAUGUGACUUUUUUUAUUUUAUUUUUUCUAAACUAAACUUUCUCUUUUUUUAUAAUCAUACUCAUAUUUUGAUUCUUAACGGUUGGAUAAUUUGAUUUUGCAUUCUUCACUACUACACCGCCAACUUAUACAAUUAAAAAAUGUAAAAAAAAAUAUAGAUAAUCAAUCGAAUGAAUUUUUUUAAUAAAAAAAUUAAAAAUACUCAAUUUUUUAUGAGAAACUAAAAACUUAAUUGUACUAUUUUUAAUUUUUAAAGAUGUAAGAUAACAACAUGUCACUUCAAAUGACGAAAAUUAAACGAUAAAAACUGAACUGAAUAUAAACUCUUGGACACUCACUAUAAAAUUUGUACUGAGAACUCAAUUAAAGAAAAACUUAAAAUUAAUUAAACAUUCUUUUACUAUGACCAUGUUUAUAAACUUAUUCAUGAAUACUGAAAAAAAGUAAAUUAAAUUUAUCUAUAAUUUAUACCAUUAUAUAAAGAAGGUACAAGAUUUAAUAACUUUUUAUUCGGUAUCAUCUUUUAAUUGAACAAUUUUAACAAUAUAAUAAAUAAAAAAUAAUUUAUUUAUUUAAUAAAUUAAAUAAUUAAAUAAUUGAUCUUUAUUUUAAAAUAACAAUUAAAUAACGGCUAAAUUUUCUCUAGUUUGUGAAUAAUUAUUUUAUAUAUUUUCGUUUAUAAAGUUUUUCUAAACUAUUAUUUUUAACAUGUACAUAAAUUAAUUUUAAUUUACAAAAAAGUCUUUAUUUUAAGUUUUUACAGAAAAACUUGUUGAAACAAGUUCAAAAUAUUUGUAACCCAAACUUCAUCUAAUCUUCUCUAAAGGUUGUUUUACAUUAUAACAAAUCUACUUUACUUGUAUUAUGGAAUGUACAACAGUUAAUGAAUAUUUGCUGGUGAAGACACUGCAUGAAAAGGAAAAAAUAAUUCACUUUAACAACUCAAAAAAAUUACAAUAAUAAUUCUUAUAACAUUAUUUAUUAACUCUUAAAAGGAACAUAUUAUCUAUUAUCUUUCUAUAAGCACAACAAAGCCUGGUAGAGAGGAAUUCAUUCAAAAAAAGGCUUUCAUUACAUUUUGAUUGAGAAUAUAUUACAAAGUUGUGAUAGAAACUUUCAUCUAGAGUUGGCUAUUACCAGCUUAUUCUCUACUUCAACUUCAAGAACAUUUUUCACUGAAUCCAUGUCAGCUUCACUGAUGUCAGUGGCAGAAAGAAUUUUUUUACAUGAUUGUAUUAAAUACUCAAGUGUUGCAUUUGGUAAACUACUAUGGGAAACUAUUUUGCUGGCUUCGUUCAUCAAUCCAACAAUGGUAUCCUUCUGAAACCGGUGAGAAUUCAUUUUCAAUAGUUUCAACCAAGAUGAUUUGGAAAAUGGCUGUGAGUCUGUUGGGAGAUUGUUGGUCAUACAUGUGAGGGCAGCAACAUAGUCUUCUUUUUCAAGCUUAGAACAAAACCUCUCCUUGAUCAGAGAAGUUGGUGGAGUUCGAUCCAUGUCGGUUAAGUGUUUCCAUGUUAUCUCCAAAGGCCGUUCCUAGAACCCAAGUUCCAUAGGUUAACAACAUGAUCUAGAUUCCCCCAUGAAUUUAACAUUUCUCACUAUAUAGUUUGUUCAAUAAGGACAAAGCUAGACUUAGAACUAUAAUAGCAGCAAGCUACUCACCAGGACAAUAUCGAAACAAAAGUACACACUACAGAAAAAUUCAACUAUACAUGGUGUCAAUAGGUGUUUUAGUACAAGGAUGCAGAAAAAUACUUUACACCAAACAUGACAUGUUGAUACUAACUACAAGGGCAGCAACUCAGACAUGUACGUGAAUAAGGAAAUCUCAAAAACAUUAAGAUUAUUUGGUACAUCAUUAAAUAAACAGUUAUUUUGCUUAGAUUAUUGUAGUUUACCUCAUUCAAAUUAACACAGACAGAUUUUGAAAAGGAAAGCAAGAAAAUGUAAAGUCUGAUUUUCUUCAUUUUCAUUGGCAACCGAGCAAGUUUUUCAUCCUAUGUACUCCCAACUUACCAUGCAUAUAUCCUAAAUCACUGCAUGCUCAAAAGCAAAAUGCUAUUCACAUGAUCACCAAAAGGAUCAUUCAUAAAUACAUGAAUAUGUGCAAAUGGAAUGGAAGGUUACCUUUCCUGCUCUUGAAGCCUCCAAUAUCAUUUGAAGAUGACGUUUUUGAUUGAAAUGGUAACCAUGGUACAACAUCAUUUGAUAGACAUGGUCAAAAUAAUCCCAUCUCUGCUCUGAAACACAUGCAUCUAACAUGGUGUUGAAUGUGUAUGUAUCUGGUACCACCAGCAUCUUGUAAUCAGUAUUUCCCCUCAGAGAAUUUGCAUUUUCUGACAUCUGCUCAAACAGCGCUUUAGCUUCUUGAAACAUGCCAUGUUCCAAGUAAACUUUCAGCAAGAUGUUAUAAGUAACCAGAUUUGGAGCACAAACUUCCUUCAUUUUCUCAAAAAUAUAAGCCCCAUCUUGAAUAUUUCCAGAGUCUAGACUUGCUUGCAUCAAGCCAGUGUAGGUCACUACCAGUGGUUUAUUUGCAACCUUACAUAUCUUGUCUAUCUGUCAAAAGAUGAAUGAUUCCUUUGAUGAUGAAGCCUUUUAAAAGUAUAAAUAGUAUAACUUUUUUUACUAACAGACAGGACAUUUCGAACCAAGAGAAUUUAUUCAACACAAUUAAAAAUCAAUAACAUGGAUCCAACCAAUUUACGUCAAAUGAAGUGAUGACAAACCAGUUUGCACUUCAUUGAGGUGCAAAUAUUAUGAAUAUGAAAGUAACUAUUCUUGCUUAAGUGUGUCAGUCAAUGUGAGAAUAGAAGUCCCAAAUCAGAGAGUUACUUUUCAUGUUAUAAAAGGAGCAUAGUGUUUUCUUAGUAGGACACACCAAAAUCUCUUCUUUUUCUUUCUAUUGCUUUAGUGCUUGAGAGAAAAAUUUAGAGAGGAAAUUAGUUUCUCCUUUAAGAUUCUCCUUGUAGUUACUUAUUGUUUUCUCCUUGGAGUUAGAGAAAAGGGUAUUAUGAUUGUCUUUUUUUAGUAAAUUACAUUAUUGCCUAAUAUAUGUUUUGUUCCUCUUUCUUUUCAUUUUUUAUUUUAGUUAUGAGUUCUUUAUGUUGUUACUCUCAUACAUCCUAUGUAUUUUCAUCAAAUACUAGUUUGCAACUUCCAUUUCAACCAUUGUGUGUGCCUUUGGAUUUCAGUUAGAAAAAAUGAAUUAAACUUACUGGAGUAGAAAGAAAAAACCACUCAUCGUAGUUUUUAAGUCAAAUAGAGUUUGAAGAGAAUUUUACUUCUAACGUAAUCUGAAAAAAGUGUCAAACAUGUUGGCACAAACACAAUGUUCAAAAGAAACUGAUAGUUGAUUUUGGUGUUUUAACUAAAAUUCAAACAUACCUUACAUAAUCGAUAUUGGAGAUUCUCUCCACUACUCAAAAAUCUAGUCAUGUUUUUUCCAUUUAUUAUCUCCUAGGUUAGGUUAUGCAAAGUUGAAUUGGAGUGUGCCAUGUGAAUUCAAUGAUGCAAUUUGACUACUGCAUGUGUAGUCUAGAUAAAUCAACAAUUUUUCUAUGAGGAAUUCAAGUGUGAAGGUGGAAGCUCCACAUUGGAUGGAGAUGAGCGAGAUGAACAAUAUACAAGGAGAAAGACCCACAAGCUCAUUGUUUUAAGAUUUUGGAUAGGAGGUGGUGUCAGGUCUCUUAUAUGGGUUGACUCGUGGCUCAUCGAAUAAAAAUCUCCCUAGUUAUGUACUGACUCUUCCCGGUAUGUUUCACUCAAAGAACCCAACAAUCGACGCCAUCUAUGAGAAGUGUUAGAUGAGUAAGAGACUCAUGGGUUGAACACUUUCAAGGUGGAGUUUGCAAUGUGUGGAGAACUCACUUGAGAGGGAGAUUGUGAGGAAUUUAAGUGUGGAGUUGGAAGUCUCACACUGAAUGGAGAUGAGUGACAUGAACAAUAUAUAAGGAGAAAGGCUCACAAACACAUUGCCUUAAGGAUUUUGGGUUGACUCAUAGCUCACCGGAUCCAAAUCUCUCUAGUUACAUGUCGAUUCUCCCCAAUAUGUCCACUAGAAGAACCCAACACUUUCUAUUCUCACCAAAUCCAAAUAACCAAACAUUGCUUCGUGAAUUUUGAUUUUGCCACCUUACUUGAGAACCAUCUCAUUGGAGACAUUGAUAAAACUGUUAACUCAUACAAAAUCCCAAAAUUAAACUUCGUUAGACUAUUUCACAUGCAAGCCUUCCAAAAGGUUUAUGUUUUUCUUUUUGUUAGCUAUCUUGUUUAGUUUGAACAUUUUCACAGUCAAAUUUAAGGGAGUGUGAUAUCAUUAUAAUUAGUUUAUGUAUGGGUCGAUGGAUGGUGAGACAGUUGAAGAACACCUAUUGCGCUAAUGCCUUCAUGUGAGAAGGAUCUAUGAGCUGUUAGAAGCCUGGAGAAAUUUGGGUGCGCUAAGGUUAUUGCCACUUGCAUCAAGUGGACUUUAUGUAGCUUGAGAAAAAUAAAGAGUAAACCAUUAAAUUGGUCCUAUAAAAUUAUAAAAAUCAACCCAUUAAUUCUCCAAAAAUUUGGGUCACUAAAUUAGUCUCUCAAUCUGAAAUAUUAGUCUUCCAAAAAUUGUCACCAAAAUAGCUCCUUGAAAAAAUGUAAUUUUUCAUUAAAUGUGUCCUUUUAAUAAGGAUGAAUUUAGUGACAUUUUACAACUUCGAGGGACAAAUUUGGUGAUGAAAAUUUUGAAAGACUAACUAUGCGGUGACGUUUUAGAUCUUUGAGGGACUUUUUUGUAAUCACAAUUUUUGGAGGACUAAGGAAGUGAAUUGGUGAUGCAUAUAACCUUUUAGGCAAACUUGAAGGUUUACUUGAAAAAUGAACAUGAUAUUUUACCUUUUGAAUAUUCUUUCUUCUUUUGAGACUAUAUAUUGUUUUUUGCUCUUAGGUAAAAGGUGUCAAGGCCAAAAUGAUACAGAUUAACAAAACAUCAUUGCUCUAUUCAUUCAUUUAAACUUUUUAGAUAAAACGAAAUGACAUCAUCACGACUAACCUAUUCAAAAGACAACAGUAAGAGAUAAUAGAAACAAAUAACACACCUGCUUUAGUGCCUCGUGACUUCUUCCAGCUGCACAGAGGCAUCGAGCUAGAUCAUAAUAAAGAGAAGCCGAACCUACAAUUCCACGAUUUUCCAUUUCUUGGACAGCCAAUAUAGCCUCAUCAGUUUUUCCCUCUUUCGAUAGUGUAUUUACAAGAACUGCAUAUAACAGGAAGGUCAAGAUUAUAAAAGUUAAGUGAAUGGCAAUUUGGCAUAGGUAUAAAAUAAAUGAGAAUACCUCUAUAUGUCAAUGAAUUGGGAAUGAAAGACUUCUGAAGUUUUCUGAAAAAUUCAUGAACCAAGUUGUACUUGCCACAUGAAAACAUCACCUGUUCAAGCAUUACACAAAUUUCAUGAAUUAUGUGCAAGCUAGCAUUCAUGUAUACAUAAUUGUUUCCAUAGUUGUAUUUGUCCAUGGAAACAAAGUUUCCCACUUGCUGUAUAAUUGAGCUCAGCUCAACCACGAGCAGGAACCUUGUCCUAAAUCUUGUAAAAAAGUUCCCAAAUUUAAUGGAUUAUGGUAUUCUAUUCAUUUGCGUAAAAUUUGAAUUAACACGGUGCUUUCCAGCUAGCCACACAGCACUUAAUAAAAUCAAAUACUUCCUCUACUUCCAUGUUCAAAGAACAAGUGAACUACUCUUCUGAGUGGAUGUAUUAUUUUUUGGCUGCUUAUUAUUUUCUCUUCUGUACUCUGUACGAACUGCUGCUGCUCUAGGAGAUAUAUCUUACAUCACUAUAUAAUGUAUUCUCAAUAUUCUUAAAUUAAAACAAAACUACCCAGUUUUACUUCCCAGCUUGAUUAAAAAUAUUCCUUAUUUACCAAGAAGCAUUUCAAAUAUUCAAAUGUCUUACAAAUCAUCAAAAAACUAGAGGCAACUGCUACCUCCAUAACUAGGCCGUAAGUUGUCGCAGAAGGUUGUUGUCCUUGCUUCUUUAACUGCUGCAAAACCCAAAAGGCUCCUUCCCAUUGUUUCUGCUUAACACAAGCAUUAAGGACCUGCAUGCCAAAUUAAUAUAUAAAUGCUAAAUUAAUCAGACAACUGCAGAAGUUACUAAAAAAAAGCUAUUUUGAAAUGCAACAUUAAAGUAAAGCAUUAUGGACUGUAAACCCAGCUACAACAGUGAAGAUAAAGACACAUAAAUGCUCUACAAAACAACUAAACUAUACAUAUAUAAAAAAUGCAAGUAUGUGAACUUUUAUCAAGUAAUUGAACUGCUAUGCAACUUUAAACAGAAAAAUUCAUUUGGUAAAACAUUCAUAGGAAGAUGAUGGAUCAUCACAACCUUCUCAUCGCAACCAAAAAAGAGAGAAGGAAAAAAAGCAAAUUUGUAAAAAAACAACUGUUGAACAAAGAUAAUUUGACCAUAAGGAUAUUUUUCGAAUUUAACUUGUGCAUUCAAAAUGAUAUGUCCAAUCCCAUACAUCUAAAUUUAGAGGUGGUUUUCAAAUACAUAAGGUAGAACAACUAUUGCAUACACAUCUUAAAACUAAUUUCUUCUUUAAACAACUCACUGCAUGAUAGACUACAGAAUCUGGUUCCAGCCUUGGGUCCCAGCUCUCAAAUACCCCUGUUUUGAACUUUUUCUUAGGUGGUGAUCGCAUAGUAUCAAUCACAUCAAAGAGUUCCUUCAUGUGCCCUGCUUGUCCAAGAGUCACAGCAAUACUCCGAUAAGCUACUAAAUCAGGAUACGAGGACAUUUGUUGCUGGAAGGAAAGGAAAGAACGUUAGGGAAGUUGCCCAUAUUUCCACGUUGUAUAAAAACAAGGAUUUUGCAUGGAUUACCUGCAUUGCAUGAAAUAUAUUUAGUGCCUCUACAGGUCUCCUGGACUUUCCAAGUGCAUCAAGAGCAGAAGUAUAUAUAUUCCUAAUGACAAAGAGAUAGAACAUAACUUUACAUGUCAAAAGGUUCACCUCUCUGUGUGUCUGAAAAUAAAUCUUACACCAAUGAAUAACAUUAAUAGGAUAAAUAUUUUGGGAUCCACAACUAGAUUGAAAACACGUGGGCUUACAAAAUCAAAGUAUAAUACAGUUUCCAAAUAAACAAAUGCGCACACCACAUGAUUGCACGUGUCUAGUUUCCUUAAGAAAUUUAUAAUUAGAAAUUUUGGCAUGAAAGAUAAACAUGAUAUUCAUGCAUUUUUUUCAAUGGUUGGUUACUUUAAAACCAUUUUUCCAAGAUAUCUGCAAAGGUGACUAACUAAUUGUAGUUCAAGUAUCAGUCAUACAAAGUACCACAGGCAUCUGAAGUACCUUAGCUUAUGGGACUCAAAACGUUCACGCUUUUGAAGCCAUUCAAUCACCUGUAUCACUCGCCGCCAGUUUCCUAGUUUUCCCAAGAUUGUGAUAAUCCUUGUUAUGGAAUAGUCAGAAAAUUUAAGCCUUGCACUUCUGAUCAUCUUAGAAAAUAUCCAUUCAGGUAAAUUGAUAUCUGCACCAUUUAACCUGUUUGAGAAAAUGGUAAAGACAGGAAGAAGCAUUAACAUGAUUGCAAUGAUAAAAACAUUGAAAAAUUACACAUUGAAAGUAGUCAUUUGGUUAUCCAAUUAAGGCAGAAAAGAAAGUAAAUGCUUUCCCACGGGAUGCAACGUUUAUUGGCAAGAUAUCUCCGAUGUCUUUUCAAUCACACCAACAUUAGUUGAAGAAAUUAAAAAAGGAAGCAAUCUAUAGACACUGGAGGAAAACUCCAGGAGCCCAUAUUUGAAACUAAUUUAAUAUUUAAAACUUUAAAUAUUCCCAUGAGUCUAAGACAAUUGAGAUAUUUAUUUGGCAAAAUAAAUUUUAGGAGCCUGUCAAGAAGCUGAGUAUGCUUUUUUUUCCUGCAUGAAAUAUACAACUCCUUUCGUGUACUUUUUGUUCCCCGGUUUAUUUGGGGCCAAGCCAACAGUAAUUUACACUCCCAAAUGAAGACACAAACAUUGUUUUAGUGCAAAAUAGACAAACUCUCACGAUUCCAGAUAAUAGUUGAAAAUGAAAGGUUAACAACUCACACAGUGUCCCCUAAAAAAUAUAUGAAGUAUAAGGAAAUUCACUUGAAAAAAAAAACCCAGCCAUUCCUGAAAGGGGCAUGUCAUUUAGAGCUUUUAUGGGAGUUAAGUAUCAUUUCCCCAGCUCAUGAAUUAUUGACAGACAUAAGGCAUAGAUAAAAAAAUUUGUUCAAUAACCAAAAUCUAAUUUGGAACAUGGUGCAGAGUGGCAAAUUAUGCAUGAUGCAACUCCAAAUCACAACCAAAUAUUACAAAUCCACAGAUUACCAACUUUGAAAGGAAGUAAGAAACGUUUAAAGCAAAAGUAAUUUGAUGUUAACACACAGCUAAGGAAAGUGUUCCUUUGAUGACUAAACCCUUAAUUCUACUCUUUCUACACUUACUCCUGGCACACUGAUUCAACUCAAAUUAAAUGGAAAGACACCAACGUGCAAAAUGUUUGAUGUGAGAAAAAUCUUAGACAAAAAAAUUUACAUCUAUAAUGUGAAGCCAAACAAUCAUUGACCAGGCUCAAUAUCAUAUGCAGUUUUAGGUAUUAUGUAUUCUCAGUAGAUAGCUUCAAUUGUUCCCUGAGGCACUAAUUUACUAAAAUGUGUUCCUAAAAAGAAAAUUCAGCACAAAAGUUUAUGUAUAUACUUAAAUCCUGAGCAUACUAUUUUGUGAAUUUUAGCAUGAAAGAAUGAAUAAACUACAUACGCAUUGGCUAGCUUUUGGAUUUUCUCCUCCAUUUCCUUGUGUGAAAAUUGUGUCUUUCUGAUAACCUUGUUCGGGUCAUCCAGAUUCUCAAAUGCUGCUCUAAACACCUCCGAAUUGUCAGAAUCAUAACCCCUGUCAAUGAAACGCUUGCGGCUUCCAUUCAUUUUGACAUUAGACAAACCAUUUCUAUUUAUAAAACUUCCAUUCUCACUGUGUCUUCUUACAAUCCCUCUGUCCUGAACAUUUUGUUUUACUGCAAUUUUAUCUCUAUCAGGGAUUUUACCUUGUGUGUUGUAUUCCCUUUGUCUGCUACCAAAAUUCUUCUCUCCCAUCAUCUUUGAAGAAUACAAAUCAUGAAUAACCCCCCUCUUCAUGACACUCCCAUGGCUACCAUUCAAACUAGACCUUACUACACUCCUAGAUUCUGGUUCUAAACUAUGACUCUGGCGUUUCAACAACCCAUUUUUCUGCUUUGCCUUUACAUCAAGGUCGUUUUCACUUCUAAAUGAUCUUCUGAAUUUGCCGCUACUUCUGGAGGAACCUUCUUUACCAUCUUCAACCCCAUCUUUUCUCUCAAUUUUCACUCUUCCACUGCUAAAUUUUUUGGUGCUAUCACCCUUUUCCGGCAUCUUCUUUUUUCUAGUAGUGGCAGCACGCUUCGUAUCCCUCACAGUUCUGGCAGAUUCCAUAGCCUUCAAAUAUUCAUCAAAUGAAGGCUUGAACUCUGAGUCUUUCGGAAGAACCGCAUCACUGAUCAACCCAACAUUAGAGCCAUCAUUCAGUGAAGCAGUGACAGCACCAAAAUUCACCUUCCGGGUGUGAGAAACCCGAAUCUUCCCUAAAAACCUCGCGUUCAAAGCAUUCCCAAAAAAGGGUCUCAGAGAAAUGGGCACCGUGUAUGAAGAUAACGAAUUGGCACCAAAAUGCAAAACAGAAGCAGAAGCAUAACUCCUAUUAACUUCAAAUCCAGCAACUCCCAUCUCAAACAUAAUGAACACGACAACGUUAAGGACUUACGAACGACGGAGUCAUACGUAGCUGCUUCCUUCGCCGAACACGCUGAACUCAGUCACCGGAAAACCAGAAUGUUCUACCUCAAAUUAUCGCGAUGUGAAACAAAGGAGACAUUUUUUUUUUCUGAUAACGUUUAUUAGAGAAUCCGUUUUUCUUAUGCGGUGAAAAAUAAUCGCUCACAAGGUAAAAAUGUUUGAGAAAGAAGCCUACGAAAUUUUGUUAAUUUGUAUAAUGAUUGUUUUAAAAACUCUAAUAAUAAAGAAUAAUUUGUGAUUUGAAAUUGGUUUAAAUAAAUAGAGGAAGAGUAAUGUUUUUUUUUCUCGUUUGGAAGAAAAAUAAACGACAAAAAAUAAACAAAUAAAAUAAUUAUAUUUUAUAAAUCAUAUAAAUAUUAAACACAUAUUCCUGUUAUUUGAGUAUCAGUUAUAAAACAAUUGAUGGAGUAAUUGUAAUUGGAAAAAUAAUAAAUAUCAAAAUAUCAUUUAAUAACUCCCGAUAAACUAAUAUUUUGUUGAGAUUGGAUAAGGUUUCACAAGCUAAGACUAAUCAUGCAUAGUUUGGGUCAUUAUAUCAAUAUAUUAGUCACUUAAUUUGAAUAAAAUGAAUGAGGUAUUUUUUAAGUUUAAUCCAAAACAAAUGAUAAUCAAUUUAAAUGUAUUUCGUUCUCUUGUGAAAUGUGAAUUUUUUUUAUUAUGUAUAUAAACAAAUUUAUGAUCACAAUAGACGACUCAAAAUUCAUAAAUAUUAAUAUACAAAUUUUGACAUAAAUAUUAUAAUCGUUAAAGUUCACAAACAAGUGAAGUUAAUGCUCUAUAUUUUGCCUUAAUAAGAUUUUGACAUCAUAGAUGACUUUUUAGACUUUCAUUAAAUUAAAGAGUUUCGUAUAAACACACAAUGAUUAGUGCUAGACCUUAUAGAAUCUGUGCAAGUUUCCCAAUCAGAACCAUAAAAAAAUUUAAUAGUAGAUUGAUCAUUAUUAGGAAAUAAUAGACUAAGACUGGGACAUCCUUUUAAAUAUGAGGAUCUGGUGGAUUUGAAACAAAUUGAUCGAUGGAUCCAUGGGAGAAGUGGCAUGUUUGCAAGCCAAUAAACCACUAGCAAAAAAAAUAUCUAAGCAAUAUUUUUGUUAAUUGAGAACAAUAACAAAAGGUGGAUGACUUAUUUCAAAUCCCACCAAAUAAUAAAUAGUACUAAGGUCUUGGAUACUAAAUGAGUUGUGAAUAUGAGUUUUUAACACAUUGGAUUUCCUCGAGAUUAUUCUCAGCCAACAUAAUGUCAUUAGCAUAUAUUAGUUGCACUCAGAACAUAACCAAGAUGUAUUACAACUUAAGUUAGUUUUGAGUUUCACUACCUACUUGUCCUACUUGUUUGUUUUAGCCCAUAUAAAGAUUUUAUAAGUUUAUAAACUUUUAUUGGAUGAUGAAGAUUAAGCCCGCAGGAGAAGUCAUGUAAUUUUCUACAUCAGGAUCACCAUGAGGAAAGAAUUUCACACUUAGCUGACGAAGAAUUCAUCCCUUAGCACUUGCUAAAGAUAUAAUAAACUUAAUGGUAUUAGUUUUAACUACUAAAUAUAAAGUAUAUAAAUGGUCUCGUCUGGUUGUUGUUUAUGCUUAACCUUAAAAACCCACUUACAUCUAGUAGGAUGCUCUUUAAGAGGUAAAUCCACCAAAGACCAAGUCUCAUUGGACUCAUUCACAUUGCAUAACUUUUUUCCAAAAGUCAUGUGUUUAUCGUUUCUUUAAAUGAUUUAUGUUAUAAGAUAGAAGAAAUGUUAUAACAAAAAGAAAAAUACAUAGGAGAACAAUUAUGAUAAGAGUGAUAUUUUGUAAUAUGAUAUAUAGUACACGAAGAAUGAUGGGUAACAUAUUUUUAAGAGAACAAAGUAGUAGUGUCAGAGUCUUUCAAGUAUCUAGGUUGUUGUUUUAGAUAAGUAGAAACUUUAACCGAUGAUAGAAGUUGUGGAUCAAAAUGUUGGUGUUGCAAGAUAUCAAUAAUAGUUAAAUGUAAUGAAUUAGAAGAAUCAAUAGCAAAGAGACUUGAUGAUAAUGCAGUUUCAUAAACUUAAGGAAUAAUAUUAUUAACAAAUGUAGGCACAACAAUGCCAUUAUCGAAAAUAGAAAGAAGCAAAUGCAUAAAUUCAAACAAAUGAUGUUUUUUUUUUCAAAUUGAUAUUACUUUUAUCUUAAAAAAAAACGAGUUUCAUAAGAACUAACGUACUGUGUCAAAAAAAAAAUUAUCCUGAUUCAUAUAAAAAAAUAAAACAGUUUAUCCCAUCUUUGUAACUCAUAAAACACAUUUUAUAGAAUUUUUAACAAAUAAAAUUAUAUACAGGGAGAGAUUUGUAUUUUUGUUUGGUAGGAAUAGUAAUUAUUUGUAGUAUGUUUGUUACAAAUCGUAACUAUUUGUAGUAUGUUUGCAUAAUAAAUACAAAUUUAUUUACUAAUCAAUAAUAAUUUUUUAAUUUCAAGGGAGUAAUUAAUUUUAAAAAAGUUAUAAUCUCCACGGUAAGUUUUAUCUAAUAAACUCGUGUGUUAUCCUCGAGACUAAUAUUUUUAAAUACACACACGUCUAAAAAAACAAAUUAAAAUAUAAAUUUUGAGCAAACAGAAAAAAAAAUCGUUUUUUUCUUAAUUUAUGUUUUAAAAUAUCAUCUAAGUGACUUACUCAUGUUUUAAAUAUUUUAUUUAUUCUUAAUAUUUUACUUUAUACUUUAAAAAAUCAACAAGGACAUAAGACGUUCUCUAGUAUAAUGAAUGUUUAUAAUAACUAUUUAAAACCCAAAUAUAUUUUACAUUUUAAAAACUAACAUCUCUAUUUAUUUAUACAUGUGAGAGAUACUCUUAAUUUGGAUCAUCAACAUUGAUUUUUUUUUUACAUUUUCUUCCUCCACCACGCAUCUCCAUACAUUUUACAUAUAUUUUUUUUUAAAUUAUAGAAUUUGAAUGUAUUUUUAUUUUUAAAAUUUUAUAAUUCAAAAUACAAAAUUAUAUUUCAAAUUAUAAAAUUUACAAAAGAAUAUGAAAAAAAAGCACAAUACAUUUUAAGGAAGGAUAAUUUUAUUAAAAUUAAAAGAAUAAUGGAGUUUUAAAAAAACAAAUAACACAAAAUCAAGCCCAAUAAUAAGCUCUUGAAAGAUUUGGGCCGGAGCAGAAGAUGAAGGAUUCAAUGGUAUCACUCGCAGGAAAAAUUAGGGUUUCAUUCCAUUUUCGCCUAUUUAAUAUGCGAGCCACCCAUUCAAUACAUCGUUCGCUACUUUCUGUGUUCUUCUACUCUGUAAGUAUUUGCAUGAUUUCGUCGAAUUUCAUCUUUUCUUUUCAACUUUUAUUUGAUUUGCUUUUUGCGUUCUGCUUUUGGGUUUGGCCGGUGAUGCAUGAUGAAUUUGUCCGUACCAUCCGAGAUUUUCUCUGACGAAUGCUCAUUCUUGAAUCUGAGGCCUUUGCUCUUUCAACGUCUAUGAAUUAUGAUUGUUUUCUUUUUAGUUUUUCUCACUAGUGAUUGUGAAUGAAAAAAAGGCAAUAAAUUAGAGUCUCUGAGUUGCUUAUUCCAUGGCGAUAUCAGCGCUGUACGUUGCCGAUAAGAAUUUUGUGCUGAGAGAUUGGCUUGGGUCUCUGUAGGCUCAUGCACUCAGAUGUUCAUACACUUUUUCUGAUUUUUGUUUUAUUUUUUUUGAGUACCUUAUUGGUCCUUAGAUGCUUGUUGAAAUGUGUGGUCUGUUAGAGACUCUUUGUUUUUUUGUUUUUUUUUUUAUGUAAUUAUACUAUUUCACCCAUUUUAAAGCAAUUUUUUUUGUCAAGACUGAAGUGGAGUGAGAUUCAAUUAGAUUUUCUUUUUGAUUAUACUUUUUAUUAGUUAGAUGAUGAUCUCAAGUGAGAUUUAAUUAGAUUUUGUUUAUAACUCACUGUUUUAAAGCACAUUCAGAAUUACUUAAGAGUUGCGGCGCAAUGAACAAAAAACAAUUUUUGUAUCACAGAAAACCUCUGUUUGUUAGCCAAUUGAAAAAAAUCAAUUGAGUGUGGUGGCUAUCAAUUUGUGACCCAAAAAUUCUUGAGAUAAAAGUUCAGACAUUUCACCGAAACACUGUUUUAAUAAGUAAUUUGCAGACUUUAUAUAAAAAAUCUAAGUUUUUGGUAAGAUUUAAUACAAAAUGUUAUGUUUUCGAAGAGAUAAAGAUCAGAAGAUUUAGACCAAAACGCUGUUUAAUAAUAAAGUACAUUCUAUACUUCAUAAAAAAAAUAGUUUUUGGUAAGAUUUUAUUCCGAAAGUAAAGUUCUUGAAACAUUGAACAUCAAUUUUUUUGAAGCAAUGAAGUUUAUGUAAGAUAUCCUUUGUAACGAAAGAAGAUAAAAUGAUUAUUUUCUUUGUUCGUCAUUGACAAAUUUCACAAGGCUGGAUUUUAUUGUAGGGAAUAUGUGACUAUGACGUCACGAAACAGUUGAACACAUUACUGGAAACAAUUUCAUCAGUAAAUUUUUUUACUGGAAUUUGGAUUUCACUCAAUAAUUUUGAAAUUUGCGUUUUUUUAUAGGCUUUGAUAAAGGUAUUCCUUAUUAUCUUUAUGUUUUGUUUGGAUUAGGAUACAAAAAUUGGAUUAGAGAUAAAAAAAAGAGUAAAUUUGAGAUGAUUUAAAGAAAAAAUAUAAAAGAAGUUAAAAUGUAAUUUUGGACAACUUUGGAUGGAAGUGAUGAACACAUAAACUAGAGUAUUUUAAUAUAUUUUAAAUAGUGUAAAUUAGAAGAUUAUAAAUUUAUUUUUUAUGUAAAUAAAUAAAAAAAUGAAAUAUUAAUUAGUUUAAACGACAUUUAAGUUAAUUAAAAUAAUUAGUAUUAUAUUAUAUUAUGUUAUAUAUAAUCAUAAAGUAUACUUUUAUCUAUAUGUUUAAAAAAAAUUAAUAAAAUAAUUAUUAAUUUCGUAUAUAAUUUUAAUAAUUAAAAUAAUUGUAAGUUUUAAUUAUAACUUUAAAAAUAAUAUAAAAUUUAAAUGAAUUAAAAAAUAGAAUAUAAAAAAAUUACUAUCUAUACAUUCAUAAAUUUAUUUAUUAACAUUGUAAAAUGUUAAAAAAAUCUUCUCUAUAUUUAUGUUUUUAAAUUACCACAACAAUUUGUAUAAUUCUUUUAAUAACAAUAUUUUAAAAUAACAUAUUUAGAUUUAUAAUUUCAAUCUAUAAAUUCAAUUCAAUUCAUGUCAAAAAAUAACAUAUUCAAAUUUCAUGAAAUUUUUAUAUUAACAAUAUAUAAUAUUAGACAAUUAAUUUUCCUAAACAUUCACAUCUAAAAUUAAAAACUAAUUAACAACUAUUUUAAAAUGAUUUAAACAAAUUAAAUUCAAAAUAAAAUUAAACAUCCAAACACAAUUUAAAAAAAAAAACACAUACCUCAAGAGAGUAGAACAAACCACAACACAAUGCAAGUCUAAGAUUUAUCUAAUUGUGUCUGAAAAAAAAAAUCAUUCAAAAAUUAGUUCAAAAAACAUAAAAUUAUAAAUCUAGAAAAUUAGAACCAUAAUCGAUUAUCACCCCAGUGUAAAAUAGAUUAUCCAAAUGUUUAUAACACAUAAUCGAUUAUGCUUUCAGUGCAAAAACGACCAUGAUUUUUUUUGUUCACAUAAUCGAUUAUGGCAUACGUUAUUUUCAGUGAUAAUCGAUUAAGAAUGAAACUAAACUCACACACAGCUCACCUGAGGUCACAAACGAAAAACCAAGCGCACUCACGACCCUCUCCAAGUGCUCUAGGUAUGUGCUUUGAGAAGAACCGAAUUGUCUGUCUAUGCUUUGUGAGGUUUGUGAGCUUGGGAAUCACAUAUAUAUAUAUUGUUGCACCUCUUUAUUACGCUCAUUCACCCUCUCACCAACUUGCCUAUGCAUUCAUUGAGCUUUGAACUUGGUCAAACAGAUCCUGAACAAUGGUCAGGAAUCUCAUGUGCUUGCUGUUGAAAAGCUUCUCAUCACAGAUCAUGCUUCACGUACAAUGCCCACAUAAAUCUAGUGAGGGCACAAAUGAUAUUUCACUCAUCCUACUUGGCACUCACUCCCUCCCCCUCUCCUUUCUCUUCACUUCUGAUUGCUUUCUCAUUUUGCCCAACUUUCCCCUCACCCUCACCCGCACCUCAACCAUAAUCGGAUCCAAACGGGGAUGACACCCCACAUUCGUCUACGGCUACAGUGCCACCCCCAAUCCAAACAGGGACUUAGUGUGGGUUUGUUUUUAGGGUGAUGGAGGUUGAAUGUGGGGUGAAUGGGUGUCACCCUUGUUUGCUUCUAUGAGAGGGAGAGGUUGAGGGUGAGAGUGAAUGGAAAGUUGAGGGUAUUUAGAAUCCUCUCAUAAUUGAAGAGAAAUGAAGGUGUGGGAUGAAAAGACCAUGAUGCUCUUCAUACAAUAAUAUUAAUAAUAGAAAUUAUUAAUAAUAAUAAUUUUUUGUAUAUAUAUAUAUAUAUAUAUAUAAGAUAACAUAAUUUAAAGAAUCAUAAAUAAUAUUAAAAUUAUCUAAAUAAAUUAACUUAAGUAAUAAAAUUAAUUUAAAUUAAUAAAAUGAAAAAGAAUAAAAUUAUACUUACAUUUAAAAUUAUAUUUAAUUAUUUUUUUGAAUUUAUAUUUUUUUCUUUUAUUUAUAAAUGAAACUUUAAAUUAUUUUAAUUAACUAAAAUAUGCAUAAAAUUAUUAAUUAUUUAUUCUUUUUUUUUAUAUAUAAAGGUAAACUUGUAAUCUUACAAUUUAUCGUAUUCAAAAUAAUUUAAAAUAUUCUUACAACCAUCACAUUAUUUCAAUAAACUUUCUUCACCCACCUACUCUAACCUAUCUUAUUCCAAGCACACUCACUUUUUUCCCACUUUCUUCUCACACUCUCACUCUUCCACACCCUCAACUUUCCACUCCCCAAUCCAAACAACUCACUCUUCCACACCCUCAACUUUCCACUCCCCAAUCCAAACAAAGCCUUAGGAAUAAGGAAUAAUAUAUUGCAAUUUCUUCUUUUAGGUGGUAACAAUAAAUAUUCAACUUUUUUUUUUCUUGGAUAUUCAAACAGUUAGCAUUUCACCAGGAUAAUCCUUGAAUUAAAUUCCAAUAAUCGUGUUAUAAAUUCAAUAUCCUUUUUUAUUCCAUUUUUUUUACUGUGUCGAUCUAUAAUUAUAGAAAUAUGGUAUAUAAAAGGAUGGUAAGAAAAAAUAUAAAAAAAUUAUAUAUAAGAUGGUAAGAAAAAUUAUAUUUAGAUAACUCAAUAAAUUAAUUGUGUAUAAUAAUUGCGUACAAUAAUAAGUUCUUAAUAUCAUCAUUAUUUCUUUAAUAAUAAAUGUUCCAUUCAUUCUGCUCCUUGUUUUUUUUUAUCGAAAUAAAUUCUGAUUUUCUUGUGAUUCACUUGAGGUUGUUGUUUGCAUUUCGUUUUUUUUAAAUUAGGUUUAAAUUGAAUGAUUUAUUAUUAUCUUGUGAUCACUUGUAUAGAAAAUAUAUAAAAGUGUAUGAAGACUUUUUCUCUUCCAAUUACAAGCUAAUUAUUAGUGAUUCACUAAUCAUAAGAUUCUAUCAUUAUCAAAUUAAUUGCGUACAAUAAUGUACAAAUACAAAAUGCAAUGUGAUGCCAACAAAUGCAAUGGCGAUUGAUUCACAGUGAUAAGAAUGCAACAAGGCUUUUUUGUUUUAAUUAAGCAGGGAAAGAAUACUAAAUCCUUCACAAUAACUCUGGGUUGUUGUCUUAGAGGUUUGAGAAGGAAUGCAAGGAAUCUAGUGAAGACUACACGAGACAUAUUUGAAGGAUUAAUAGGAGAAACACAUAAUACAAAGGGUUUUCAUGUUGGAAUGCUCCAUUGGAGGGGUGAUGGACAUGUUGGAUUAGGAGUGAUCAUUGGAAUUUAUUCAAAUUUCAAAAUAUGAAAUGAAACACAAUGAACAUUUAGUCUGAUUAAGAGAAGCUUCUCUCAAAUAGCUUAGAGUUUCUCUCAAACAGCUUAUAACAAUAAUCAAAUAGUUGAAAAGAGUUUAUAUAAGUCUACAAGUGUGUCAAAUAACUGGAAAGAAAGAGUAUAUAUAAGUCCACAAAAAGGAAAAACAAUGUGAUGAAACGAGGGCAGGGCAGAAAAUUAGUUUUCUUUGGAUCUCUUCAGUUGUUAUGCCAAAUAUUGUGGUAAUCAUUCUCCAUGAUUCUUAUGUUUCAUGAGUGGGUUGGGUUGUGUGAGUGAAAGGAGAACUUAAGAUUUUUGUAUUGUGUGACUUAAACUUGGGUUUAAAGACCUUUAAACUUUCCUUCCAUCUAUCUAAUCUUAUUAUCCUUUUCUAAAACCAAUGUGAUGCAUAUGUAAAUCUCCCUCAUGGAAAGAGGACAAACAACAACACAAAGUAUGACCCAUAAGGAAACAAGAGGGAUGAGUUUGCUAGGGUUAAAAGUGUCCCUAUAAAAACAAUCAAAUAUUAACAUUAAAGAAAUAUGGACAAUAGAAGGAAAAAAAUGAAAAACAUGUCCUUUGGUUCAAGGUAAGGUAGUCCUUUUUUUAUAGGUUGAUAUAAUAGAUGCAAAGAGUACUGAUAUUUUUAUUUUGUUUGAUUUUUCAAUUUUGCUAUCUCAUGAAGUUGUCUAAACUUUUGAUCUUCCUCUUUUAGUUUGAUUUUUCAGUUUUGUUACAUAUGAAGUUGUAUAAACUUUUGAUCUUUCUGUUUUAUUUUGAUUUUUUCAGUUUUGCUAAUGAAGUUGUCUAAUUAAGGGUUUUAUGGCAAAGAUUUCCAAUUAAGGGUUUUAUGGCAAAGAUAGCUAAGAGACAAACAACAGGUAUGACCCAUAAGGAAAUUGGGAUGAGUUUGCUAGGGUUAGAAGUGUCCCUAUAAAAACAAUCAAAGAUUAACAUUAAAGAAAUAUGAACAAUAGAAAGAAGAAGAAAAAUAGAAAACAUGUUCUCUGGUUCAAGAUAAGGUACUCCUUUUUUUUAUAGAUAGAACCGAUGCAAAGAUGAUAAGAAUUAUAUAUAAGAUAAUAAGAAAAAUUGUAUUUAGAUAAUUCAAGAAAUUAAUUGUGUAUAAUAAUUGCGUACAAUAAUAAGUUCUUAAUAUCAUCAUUAUUUCUUUAAAAAUGUCCCUAUAAAAACAAUCAAAGAUUAACAUUAAAGAAAUAUGGACAAUAAAAAUAAAAAUAAAAAUAGAAAACAUGUCCUUUAGUUCAAGUACUUUUUUUUUAUAGGUUGAUAGAACAUAUGCAAAGAUGGUAAGAAUUAUAUAUAAGAUGGUAAGAAAAAUUGUAUUUAGAUAAUUCAAUAAAUUAAUUGUGUAUAAUAAUUGCGUAUAAUAAUAAGUUUUUAAUAUCAUCAUUAUUUCUUUAAUAAUAGAUGUUCCAUUCAUUCAGCUCCUUGUUUGAGGUUUUAGAUUGCAUUUGUUUUUUUUAUAGAAAAUAUAUAAAAGUGUAAGAAGACUUUAUCUCUUCCAAUUGCAAACUAAUUAUUAGUGAUUCAUUAAUCAUAAAAUUCUAAUUAUCAAAUUAAUUACUUAUAAUUAAUUAUUAGUGAUCCAUUAAUUCAUUCUACUCAUGAUUUUUUUAUCGGUAAUAAAUUAUGCGUUCCUUGUGAUUUACGGGAGAUUCUUGUUUGCAUUUUGUUUUUGAAUUAUAUUUAAAUUGAUUGAUUUUCGGGUAAGGAAGUGAUCAAGAUGUCAAGACUUUAAGCCUUGAAGAUUCAAACUAAAGAACACAAACUCAACCUCAUUGUUCACAUUGUACUUUUUUUAGAUUUGAAUGUGUAGCCUUACUCUUAUGAAUAAGGAACAAAACAUGUGUAUAGUUUUCUUUCUUUUUGUAGUGUAACAACAAAUACUCAACUUUUUUUUCUUCGUGUUCUUGGAUAUUCAAAUAGUUAGCAUUUCACCAGGAAAAUCCCUUGAAUUAAAUUCCAAUAACCGUGUUCUAAAUUCAAUACCCCUUUUUAAUGAUUUACCACUAUUGUUAGUGCUUCCCACAAUGCAUUGUAGAUAGAUACAUAUGUUAAUCAUACUACGAGAAUCAUAUAAAUAAAUUUUUCAAUUAAUUCCAUAAAAACUUGAACAUGUACCAGUAUGAAUCGGACGAAUGAAUACACGUGUCGAUCUCCCCUAACGGACCAACUGAUAGCAUGACACACUUCGAUAGGCCGACUGAGACCCCAUAUCCAAUUACGCUUAAACCAAGUUAGUGAAGCUAACCUGUGAUUAAGAGCUGGGUAAUGCGACCCUAAACACGGUCCAUCUCCUAAUCUGACCCAACAAGGAAAGUCCAAUAAGGUAAUAUAUAUAACACACAUCCCAAGAAACUAGGUACGUCAUAAUCUACAGUGCUAUGACAACCGAGUACUGAAUCCUUUAUUGACUUGAGCGUCAGAGUGCCUUCUGCAAGUACUUCCAUCCGGUGAAAGACUGAGAGCCGAAGCUACCGAGGGACAAUAAGGAAAGAAUUGGAGGACAUCACGACCGACAAGAAGGAAUAAGACAUCCUCUCAAUAGUUCUCUAGACUCUAUCCCAAACGAUAACAUAAACAAAACAACACUUUUAUUUAGGGGGUGGCAAUACGGGCGGACCCGCAUAAGACAUAUUUUUUUAUAAAAAAUAUUUUUUUUAAAUAAAUAUUUUUUUUUAUUUGAAUGCAUUAGGUAAAUGGUCUCAUAAUAUUAUUUUCACGAGACAUGCAUAGUAAGAUGUUAUUAAAUUUUUCAGAAUGUGAAAUAUGAAGUUACAUGAAGAAAAUAUGGAUGUACAAUUUUUUUUGUCUACAUUUUAAAGUUAUGCGGGUUAUGACCAACCCGCCCCGCCCCACACUUUUCCCGCACGGACUGCGGAUUAUGAGGAGCGGGCCUAAGCAGGCCAGCAGGUUGAAAUCAACAACCUGCCCCAAAAAUUUUUUAGCAAACCACUGACCGGCCUGUGCAACACGUCCCACUUUACCACUCUUACUUUUAUUGACUCUUUAAGAAGUAAUGAACAGUUAUUUAACACUCAAAAUGAUGUUACAAAUUACAACAAGUAUACAUAAACAUAUAUUAACUAGGAAAAUAAACUUUUAUAUACCUCUAAGUGUAAGGUGGGUGCUUCAUCAAAAGGAAGCCUAUUACUAAAAUACAUGAGAAUUUAAUAUGAAAUCAUAGUUUUUAUAUCAACAAACUUUGUGCAAAACAAAACAUGUGCAUAUUUGAGGUUCUUAUUAUAUAUAUAUGGUUAAUGUGUCAUAAAUAUAUGAGACUUUUUGGUUUUUUUUUUAGUUUUUUUAAAAUAAAAAAUUACGGAUGACAUGUACAAUAAUUAUUAAAUAUCCAAUUUAAAAUAAAUUAUUAAAUCUUAAAAAAAUCAUAUAUAUUAAAGACCCUAAAUUUAUUUUAACAAAAAAAAUAUUUGAAAAUAUCUUAAUAAUCAAUUCCUCUCCUCUAUAAUGAAAUUAAAAUAAUGUUCUUAAAUAAUUGAAACAUGAUGCUACAACUUUAAUUAUUUUCUGUUUUAGUCAAAUAAAGAAACUCCUUUAAUUAUAAAGGAAGCAAACUUGAUAAGAUACCAAAUGGGUGAUGGAGAGAAAAUGACCGACAAAAGUAAGAACUUUAAUGUGAAAUGAGAGUAAGUAUAGAAUGAUGGAGAUUGGGCAACAAUUUCCUUAAUUGCAUUCUCCCUUUGACUUUUGCAGUUUCAGCUUCAUUGCUUCAUAUAAUUGAUAAUUUUAUUUCCAUAUAAAAGGAAGCAAUGAUACAUGCUGAGAAAUGUUCAUGGAUUUACUAUAUUUAUGGAUAUUCAUAAAUAUUCACAAUUUUUUUUAAAUUAAAUAAAUUUAUUUAAAAAAUAAAAAAUCUGAUGUUAAAAUAUAACCUUAAAAUAUAAUCUAAAUAAAUUUGAAUAAUGAAAUAUUAGUACAAAUAAAAUUAAUUUUUUAAAAAUUUAAAUUAUUUGCACCACAAAAUAUAUAUCUAAAAAAGUUAUUUUUAAUUUCACACUUCUAAAUAAAAAAAAUGUAGCUCUAUAAUCAAAUUAAAAAUAGUUAUUUAAUUGCUAAUGUUUUUUAUACCUAUAAUUUUUUAAUUUUUUUUUAAAAAUAUAUCAAAUUAAAAGUAAUUAAUAAAAAAGUAGACUUUAUCAUUAAAAUAUUCCUAUGCAUAUACCCAUUCAAGUAUAUAGUAAUAGUUAUUGUGAAUUUAUUAUUGAAAAAAAUGUUACUAUGACAACUGCAUAGUUAAAUCAUGCAUAUAUUAAUUUACGAUCUUUUAAGAUUUCUCCUUUUCUUCAUAGAACCUACAUUUCAGUAAAAAGAUUUAUUUAUUCUUUUACUUGUAACCUUUGUUGUAAUAUGAAACAAUUUGUUAUUAUAUUAUCAACAUAUAUUCUACUAUAAAUAUUUAUGGAGGUAGUUUUUUUCUUUAAUCUUACUUCAAAUAUAUGCAUGCCUACAUGAUUUUUUCUCUAUUUUUUUUUUCAAAGAUUUGCAAAAUAUGCAGUGAAAAAUAUUAGUUUGACAAUUAAACCGUGAAAAACACUAGUUUACUAUCUUUCAAAAUUUCUCUAUCUAUUCGUAUAAAUUCACAUGUCUCAAUAAAAGAUUAAAUUUUCUUUUACUUUUAACAUAAGGCAAUUCAAUGUUGUGUUGACUCUUUACUAUAAAUAUUCAUUGAAGUAACUUUUUUCUUUAAUCUUACUCCAAAUACAUGCAUGCCCACAUGCCACUUUUUUUCUCAGUAUUUUCCAAAGAUCUGCAAAAUGCAAAAUUGGUUUCUGAAGGAAUGAAAUGAAUUGAAGGUUUUUGUCCCUAAAACAAGUGAAGCCAAAUAUACAAACACAAACAAGAUAUGGCCAAAGGGUGUGGUCCAUGAAUGAUGAAGCAUGGGUUACCAAACAAUGAAUAAUUAAACCACCAUUGGUAUGAGGUGUGAGAGAACUUGCCAAGUUCUUCUGCUCAUUCAUUCAUUCAUCUUCAAUAAUCCAGAGAGGUACAGAGUACAUAGGCAAUGAUACAAACAAAGAAACAUAAAAUUGGAAUUGCACACACUUGCAUUGGUUUUGACACAUUUUCUAAUUUGGUUUUGUUUUUGGCAAAACGUGAGAGAGAGAGAUUAGUCCCACAUCGAAUGUCACCCGCAUUCCGCCAAGCAGUGAAUGGUCUCCUUUUUCUCCAGCCGUGUAGUAUCUGUCAAUCGGUGCUAUGGGCCACUGGGCCCGGGCCUGCCAUUACUCCAGCCCAUGUUGCUGUCCCUUCAAGGGUAGCAUAAUCAAACUGCAUCAUCCUAUCUUCCAACAAUAUCACUAAAUCACACCAAAUCUUACAAAAAAGAAAAAUAUGUUUUUAGUAUUUUUCAAACAUUCAAUAUUAUUAUUAUUAUUUACUUUAAAACAUUCCCUGUUUCAAAAAUACCUGAUUUAUUAACAUUUUUAUUAAUUUUAUUUUUUAUAUUUCAAUAUCACAAAAAUUAUUAAACAGUAACUAAAUAAUUAGUCAUUAUAUUGACUAAAUUAAAUACUAAUUUAGAGAAUUAAAAAUUAUUGAUAUCUUUGAUUUUUAUUAUUAAUAAAAUAUUAUAAAAUAAUUUAUAAAUUAAUAUUUAAAUUAGUUAUCAAAAUUUUAUUUACUAAUAUUUUAUAUCCUAAAUUAAUCUCUUAAAGACUAAUAGAGAUUAAUUUAGAAUAUAAGUAAUUAGUAACUAAAGUCUUGGUAGCUAAUAAGUAGAUACUAAUUUAAAAAUUGUUUUAUAAUAUUUUAUUAAUAAAAAAUACUAAUUUAAAUAUAAAUAAUUUUUUAGUUUAUAAAAUGAUUUCUAAUUUAUUGAGUUUAAUGACUAAUUAUUUUGUUUUUUAAAAUUAAUUUAUGUUUAAUGAUUUUUUUAUAAUAGUGUUUGUUAGACGUGAUAAUUAGUAUAAAAAAUAAUUAAUCUAGUAUUAUCUUGUGUACCAUGAAUGUGUGAAUACUUUGCUGGAACAAUUUCCUAUUUAAAUUUAGUAUGUGUUGUGAUUAGUGAAACAACAUUUUAUGUUUUUUUUGGAGAGAGCUUUUCUUGUUCUCAUACCACACUCAAAUAGGAUGAUUGUUUUCACAUUUAAAAUAUAAGAUUGAUGAGAUAAUGAUAUUCAUUUCUUUAAUAUUCCUAAGCACACAACUUUGAAGAAGUCAUGUAAAAUUUCAACAAGAAAAAAAAUUUGAUUGGAAUGAGAGAUGAAACUGGAAUGAGUAACUUUUCCUUUAUAACUUGGAGCAUAGCCACCAUCCUUUGUGACAGAACACAGUGGACAAAGAAACAACAAGCAAACCCAAAUGGUUCCGACAAAGCUCGAUCUGAGUGUGUCUGACUAUGUUUGAGUGUUGUUGAUAGGAGUGUGAGUAACCGAAAACAUGAACAACAGUGGUGGAGGAACUUUGAUGGGUUUGAGCAAUGGUUAUUAUGGGAGAUCGCCAUUCACAGUGUCUCAGUGGGAGGAACUGGAGCACCAAGCUUUGAUCUUCAAGUACAUGCUUGCUGGUCUUCCUGUGCCUCACAAUCUCGUGCUCCCCAUUCAGAAGAGCUUCUUUCACCACCCCACAUGUCAGUUUUCAAUCCCCUUUCUUUUCUAUAUGAUGAACUUGUUUUCACAGUGCUUACCCUUUUGCAUGUUUUGAUUAAAGAACUCAACUUUUCUGUGCCCAGAGACAAGAAGAGAUUAGGGUGUUUUUAUUCUGAGUUUUUCCCAGAAGUUUUGUUCUCAUAAUUGGUGGUGUCAUUUAUGUGCAGGCAACAUCAAUGUCUUUCUUUUCUAUAUGAUGAACUUGUUUUCACAGUGCUUUCCCUUUUUCAUGUUUUAAUUAAAGAACUCAACUUUUCUGUGCCCAGAGACAAGAAGAGAUUAGGGUGUUUUUAUUCUGAGUUCUUCCCAGAAGUUUUGUUCUCAUAAUUGGUGGUGUCAUUUAUGUGCAGGCAACAUCAAUGUCUUUCUUUUCUAUAUCAGUGCUUACCCUUUUUCAUAUUUUAAUUAAAGAACUCAACUUUUCUGUGCCCAGAGACAAAAAGAGAUUAGGGGGGUUUUCUUUUUGAGUUUUUCUUAGAUGUUUUAUUCUCAUAAUUGGUGUCAUUUAUGAGAUGCCUGUAACUGCAAGUGAUGGUAUCAUUUAUGUGCAGGCAACAUCAAUGUCUUUCUUUCAAUUCAACCCUAAAGGCUUCACAUGACUAUGUUUACCCUUUGUUCCUGAACCACUUAAUGAGCUUGUUUAUAGUGUGGAAGGAUAAAUUAAGCUUGUUUCUAGAUUGAAAUUUAAGAAGGAGUCUAUCUAACUAGAUAUUAUCUUUACAUGUUUGGAAAGUUUUCCUUUGAUUUUUGCAAUUAAACUUACUAAGUAGUGAUUGCAUGGUGAAUAAAUUUGCUAUCUUAGUUGGCAUCUUUUAUAGGGAUUUUCCUUUACCUUUCUGGAUGGAAUUAUUGGAACACAGAUUUGUGUUGUGAUAGCUUAUAAUAUAAUAUUGGGUAUUCAGUUAUGGAGAUUUUGAACCUAUUAGCAUGUAAAAUAUGUUUGAAACUUCAUUUUGUCUUCAUUGCUGCCAAAUGAAUGUCUUUGGAAUGUUGAUAACAAAAAGCUGUGCAUGACAAACUUUGCAGUGAGUUAUUGUUCCUUCUAUGGGAAGAAGGUGGAUCCAGAGCCAGGGAGAUGCAGGAGAACUGAUGGAAAAAAAUGGAGGUGCUCCAAGGAAGCAUACCCUGAAUCCAAGUACUGUGAGCGCCACAUGCACCGUGGCCGCAACCGUUCAAGAAAGCCUGUGGAAUCACAAACUGUGACUCAAUCUUCUUCAACUGUCACAUCACUUGAUGGUGGCAGUGGCAGAAGUAGAACUCUAAACUUCCAAAACCUUCCUGCAAAUGGCUUUGGUAAUCUCCAGGGUACUGAUUCUGGAACUCACCAUACCAAUUAUCAUGUUGAUUCCAUUCCUUAUGCCAUCCUAAGUAAAGAAUGCAGGUACAGAAAUCCUUAUCAUAUUUUGCUUCUUUUGUUUGCAUGGAAUUUGAAGUUAUUUAUGCUAUAAAAUCAUGUUCUUGAAUUUUAAUAUUUUAGUCUAAAUUUGUGGCAGUUAAUUUGAGGAUACAUUUCUGUAUGUGGAUAGUGACAUAUUUAUAUGGUAGAUUUCUAAUUUUUUCAUAGAGAUCUGCAGGCAUUAUUACUAGUUUUUAGAAUGCAGAACUUCAGAAGGGUCUACAUCUUUCUGUCUGUUGUCAAAGUCAAGAUUAGAGCUGUUGGCUACCUUGCUUUGCUUCUUCAGCUUCUGUACUUUGUUUUAGAUUUAGGAGACAUUCAUGAAUCAAAAUUGUCUUCAAACUGGUCUUGUUGGGUACUUUGACAAAAAAAAUGGUCCUUUAGUUGUCUCUUUUCUAGUUUUUCAUUUUCUUGCACUGAUUUAUUUCUGAAAUGCUAAGUGCAAAGCGAAACUUCUUUUGAAAAAAUGUUGAGAAACACUUCGUCUACUGCAUUGCAUUUUAAGUCUAACUCAACUUUAUAAAAUCCGUUCAUAAAGUUUGCACGUGAGAAAUAUCCUUAUUUCUAAUCGAGAUCUACAACACUUUCUCUUCAUGCUCUAUUGAAUAUAGCUGUGUACUUUGUUCUGUUCCUCAUAGCCAUAUUGCUUUGUUCUUUCUUAAACAGUAAGUCACAAAUUAGAACACAAAAUUAUUCCUAUUCCUCUUAAAUGGUGUGUCUGGGUUGGACACACCACACCGACACUUGCAGGACACAUAUUGAUGAAGUGUCAAACUCAAAAAAUAUUUUUUGGAUUUCUGUCAAUUCUUGCACGGUUUUAACAUAAUUUUAAAAAAGAGAAAUACAUUAGUUUUCUAAAAACUCAAAUUUAUUAUAUAAAUUUUUAUUAUGAUUACAAAAAUAAGAAACAAAUCCUUUUGAAUCAACCAUGAUAAACAUAUUUCUGCUACAAAAAAAAUUGAAACAUAUUUGUGCACAUAAAUCUUUAUUGUCAAUUUAUAUAAUUCAUAAUUAUAUAAUAUAUAGAUUCGUGUCCCGUGUUCUACCUUUUAGAGAUUAUAUGUAUCCGUGUCGUAUCAGUGUCCAUGUGUCACUGUUUCUGCCAGUUUCUGCAUAAUUAAAAAUGACUAUUGAAUGUUUUAGCAGUAUCAACAUAAUUGCUUAUCUCUUGAACAUGGCAAUUUUACUUGAACCAAACAGGUAUCUUCAAGGACUUAAAUCUGAGGGUGGUGAUCAUAUAUUCUUCUCAGAAGCUUCAGGAAGCAACAAGGUGCUCCAAAUGGAGUCACAUCUGGAACAGACAUGGCCUUUGAUGUCUACCAGAGUUGUCUCUUUCACUACAUCAAAAUCAACACUGUUGCAUAGUGAUUUUCCCCAACAUUCGUUUUUGUCUGGUGAAUAUGCAUCAGAAGAGCACCUGAAGGAGGAGGAUCAUCAAUCUCUUCGACCCUUUUUCAAUGAAUGGCCAAAAAGCAGGGAUUCAUGGUCUGCACUGGAAGAUGAGAGAUCUAACCAAACAGCAUUCUCCACAACUCAACUCUCAAUCUCCAUUCCCAUGUCUUCUGAUAUCUCUGCAACGAGCUCUCAGUCCCCACAUGGUGAGAAUGAGAUUCAAUUUCGGUAAAGUUUUGGGUUAUAAGCAUGGAUUAUGUGUUCUUGUAAUUAUAUUGUUGCAGAUAAUUAAAAACUGUUCUUGACAUGUUCUUGGAAGGAUCAAAUAAGCUUGGUAGAAUAGGUGCUGUGCAAAGUAAUCCCACAAUCGAGAAUUUUCAUUCAAGCUGAGUUUUUGUUCAACUUUAUGCAAUCUCAGUUGUUUUCUAAAGCAAGAUCCAAAAUUCUUAUUCGAUGGAAGGGUACUUGUUGAACUCUGGAACAUUAUUGGCUUUGUAUCUAAUGAACUAACAUAAAUACUUCGAACUUAUUUAUGCUAUUGGUUUCGUUAUUUAAUCUUUAAGUUUAACUCAAUCUUAUUAAAUCUAAAUCUGUUCUUAAGUUUAACUCAAUCUUAUUAAAUCUGUUUAUAUAGUGAAAUUUAUAUCCACUUAAUGUGAAAUCUCUAAUACAUUGUUAAUGUGAGAUCUUUAAUAUAGAUGGACAAGUAAUUGCAAGCUGUGUCAAUAUGAAUUAAAAAAAAUGAUAAUGAUUUUUUUUUUUCAUUUGGAUUUAACUGCAGAAUAUUGAGAUUUCAAUUUAAGUUUCAAUUUGACAGUUUUUAUUACCAAUGGAUUUUGUGUAAUGUCUAAUGUCAUAAUAACACAACAUAUAUGUGUAUGGAAUAUUAAACCAAAAUCUUAUUCAAUUAAAUAAUGUAUAACUUUGUAAAAAAGUGUUCUUUAUGAGAAAUUUAUUUAACUCACCAAAUGAUAGUGAUAUACGGAUUUAAUUGUAAGAAAUAUCUGACUGUUUCUUCUUGCACUUUCAUAUCUUCUUGUACCACCUCCAUACAUAACAUGAAAAUAUAUUUUUAUCCUUCUUAUGUCACCUCCAUAUAGUAGUUUCUGGAUUAUGUAAUCCAAAAACUCAUUUGAAAAAAAACUUUCGGAUUACAUGAUCCAGAAGUUAAAUAAUAAGACUUCCAGAUUAUGUAAUCCGGAAAUUAAUCAUGUAUAUGAAAAAAGGCUUUCAGAUUAUGUAAUCUGAAGGCUAAUUACAAAUUUGAAAAAUAACUUUCGAAUUCAUAAUCCGAAAUAGUAUAGAGGGACGUUUUUUGAAAUAUGAAAAUAUAUGGAGGUGAGAGAAGAAGGUAUGGAGGCGCAGGAAGAAACAAUCGAAAUAUCUUCAUUUGGAUUUUUUGGAAUGUAUAGAGUGAAGCCCAAUCAGCAAAAACAAUCACAUCCUCCAUAGUUUCUUAGUGCACUUUCAUGAAUUUUUCCAAAAUUAUUCUUUUAGCUGUGGAAUUUUUUUAGUUAUUUUUGAAUUAUAUAAUCUGUAAACAUUUUGAAUUGUAGAAUUUAAAAAAGUAUUUUUUGGGUUCAAAAAUACAUUUCAAACUUUAAAAUUCAGAUCACAAAAUUUUAGAAUUUGAAAGUUAUUUUCAAACCCUGAAAAUAUUUUACAUUUUAGUAUUUAAAGUGUAUUUUCAAAUUCAGAAAAUACAUUUUGAACUCUAAAAUCCAAAAUAUAAUUUUGUAUUUCAAAUUUUAGAUUUUAAAAUUUUAAAAUAAAAAAAAAAGAGAAUGUCAAUAAAAAAAAUAUGAAAAAAAAGACAAAAAGUUUUUUAAAAAAAAGAAGCUAAAAGUUUAUCUCAAUUAUUUUAAAAUGCGAGAUUGUACAUAGAAGUAUUUUAGGACUGAAAAUUAUGCCACUAAUCUUUUAUGAAAACAGAAUAUUAAUUAAAGGAUAAUAGGCCCAUAUUUAUUAUAUUAUUCUAUCAAUUUAUAUAUAUAUUUUUUAUUUUUUAAAUCAAUUAAUUCAAUUUUUUAAACACACACAUAUAUAUAUUAUCUGUGUUAAAAAAAAUACAAAUUAAACUCAAAUUAAAAUUAUUAAUUUUUAAAUUAAACUGCAGUGUUAUUUUUUUUGGCAAUGACGGUGUAUUGUAGUAAUUAAAUUAUAAGUGCUAAUAUAUUAACACUAACGGUAAAAACAUAGGAUUUACAUUUUAAUUUUAAUUUUAAUUUAAUUUAAAAACAUUAUUAUAUUAUUAUAAACCGUGUCAAAGUGUGUUAUUCUUUGUCUAUAAACAAAAAUUUUCUGAUAAAUUGUACAUUGAUGAAGAAAUGAAAUUUGUUUAAUUAGUAAAAUAAGAAAACAGUGAAAAUAGAAAUUAAUAAGGAGUGGUGGUGGUGGAAAAUGUACAUGGAGAUGAAAACGCAGUUGAGCUUAGCGUUAACCUGGUAAAGAAGCAGUGGAAAUGGAAAAGCACUAAACUUGCUUAAAAGGGUUCUUGUUGAUGUAUUGCAAGCAAACUUUCUUGUUGUUGUUGUUGUUGUUCUUGAAUGAGUGGAUCUGAUCUGAGAGAGUGAUGGUUGUUGAUUUGAUUGAGAAGACGAAGUGAUUAUUCAGAAUCGCGUUGAGAAGAAGAUGGGUUGGGGAAGGGGAAUUUUGGAAGGGGUGACGGUGGUGGGGUGUCUGUGUUUGCUAGGUUGGGCGGGUUUGUGGUUCUUGAACCGUCGCCUCUACAAAGAGUACGAAGAGAAACGCGUUCUCGUUCAAAUCAUCUUCAGCGUUGUCUUUGCCUUCUCCUGCAAUCUUCUGCAGCUCGUCAUCUUCGAAAUCAUUCCCAUCCUCUCCAAAGAGUGAUUAACCUAACCCUAGCAUCAACUUCAAUGUUUCUGAUAUCAAUUUUGAUACCAAUCUCAUCAUUUCGGAUUUCUUUUGCAGGGCAAGAGUGGUGAACUGGAAGAUCGACUUGUUCUGCUUGAUCCUGUUGCUGGUCUUCCUCCUCCCGUAUUAUCACUGUUACUUGAUGCUCAAAAACAGUGGUGUUCGGACCGAGAGGGCUGCGCUUGUUUCAAUUCUCUUCUUGUUCGCUUUUCUCUAUACCUUUUGGCGCAUGGGCAUUCACUUUCCUAUGCCAUCUCCUGAUAAAGGUACUGUUACCACACACCUCCUUGUGCCGUGUGAUAGUGAUAUAUUUAGUUAGAAAAGUAUAAUCACUUGGUGAAGGUAAACUAGGAAGGAAGCAGUGCUAGUGAUUUAUUUAGUCUGUGAAGUAUAAUUGCUUCUCAGCUGAUUGAUUGCUGUAAUUGACACUGAAAGUUGUAGAAUAUGGAUGAUUCUCGUGUUUGUUUAUUUUUUGAUGUUUCCAACUUGUUCGUUUCUCCUGUUUCAGGUUUCUUUACCAUGCCUCAACUGGUGAGUAGAAUUGGGGUCAUCGGUGUUACUGUCAUGGCUGUGCUAUCUGGUUUUGGUGCUGUAAAUCUCCCAUACAGUUAUUUAUCACUUUUCAUCAGAGAGAUUGAAGAGACGGAAAUCAAGUCCUUGGAAAGACAGCUGAUGCAAUCUAUUGAGACUUGUGUUUUAAAGAAAAAGAAAAUUAUUCUUUGCCAGAUGGAGAUGGAGCAGAAGCAAGGAUCUGAAGAGGUUACAUUUUUAUCCUUUUUCCUUUCAGCAUGUUCAAGAUUUUGAAUGGGUUUCUUUAAUUUUUCCUUUUUGCUGCAUCUUUAUUAUUUGAUGAAAUAAUGUUUACUGUUAAUGGAAGCAUAGGAGAAAAACUGCAUAUGGGUCAGUUAUGAAACCCUAGAGGAAGAAAAAAGAGUACGGUAAGCCAAAGUGACUUCAAUAAGUAAAGCACCAAAUGCAGGCCAUGAACAUGACUGUAUUAGGGUAAUGUGGCACCCUGAAAAAUAGAUUUUUUUUUUUCAUUUCCAUAAUGCAUUCUUCAUACUUUAGUCAAUAUGUGAUCCCAUUCCUCUAGAAUUGAUGUCCUGACAGCUGCACAAUACAAUACGAACACUACUUUGUUCUUUUGAAGAAGUUGACAAUGAACUCUAUUAGGCUAAAAUUAGGGCUGGGUGACCGUAAUAUAGGCAACUUUCCCGCACAAUCUCGCACCCAAGUCUACGGGUCUAGAGCAUGGCAAUGUAGGUGGCUCAACAAUGGAUUUAGAAUAAGCUCUAUUAUCAUCUUAAAAUUUGUGCUUAAGGCCUAAUUCAAUAUAACAAAAUAUUGUCCAAGCUCUUUAAGCACUGUUUAGGCCUUAUUUCAAAUUGAUAUGGGAUCUCAAUCCCUUAAGAGCUGACAUCCUGAUGGCUGCACGCUAUGACACUUCGGUCGGCCUUUUUCAGCAGUCCCUUUUUAGCAGUCCCUAUUAGCCUUUGGGCAACCAAUUCUUAUAGGUCACGAUUAAGGUUGGAUAUAGGUGAUUGUAAAUUAAGGUAGUUUUCCAACACAUUCAGAGUUGACUGCAAUGUGCUGCUAGUUGAAAUUGAUAGCUAUGACCAUAAUAACAAUUAAUGAUAAAAUAUUCUAUAUUUAUAAAUUAAAAGAAUUUGAUUUUGUAAAAUUCAUUAAUUUAAAUUAGAAAAGGUGUAUUUUCCUUAAAGGGGAAAGUUCGUUUUAUCUUGAAAUAAAUAACAUAUAAAGGUUAGUUUGUUGAGGUAUAAUGUUAUCAUUUUUUAUUUGUCAUUUUCUUUCAUUCCCUGUAAUUGCUUCAUCCCAACUUUUUUCUUGCAGAAAUUAAAUGCUAGAUCUUUAAUUAAACGAAUUGUUGGUACAGUUGUUCGAUCUGUCCAAGAGGAUCAAAAGGAGCAAGGUCAGUUUUCUUUUACUCUUAAAAAGGCCAUUUGAAGCUUCCACUUUUGAAAUAUAAAUUCUGAGGAACCAAAGUUUUAAGAAUUAUAUGAUCAAUAAAGCAAGUUAAAACUGUUUACCCAAAUAAGGUACAGGGUGAAAAGCAUCUGUGUUUUUUGUAAAAUACAAAAAGAGGUUGAACUUAUGCAGUUAUUUUGUGUGCAUGAUGAAUGAUUGAGAUUUCAAGGUUAAUCUCUUACCAACCAUUACAACUUCUUUGAGAAAAGAGUUUAUAGUUUCUUGGUGGUUCUUUGCUGGUGGCCAUUUUAUAGGGAUCUCCACAUUGGAUAUCUAGAGAAAUGGAAUGCCCUUGACUUUACAUCUGUAUGAUAGUGUGUUGAAAUUUCAUCAGAAUUCGGAAGCAAGUUUGCUUUUCUAAGUGAAAUUCUUAUUUUACUGGAAAUACUUAUUUCCUUGAUAGUGGUAUUUCUAAUUGUCUAAUUUUUUUUUCUGUAAUUAUGCUAGAGAUAUUUAAUUACAAAUUUUAAACUAUUCUUGUCAAAUUUGUAGAUAUUAAAGGCUUGGAAGCAGAAGUUCUGGCCUUAGAAGAGCUUUCAAAACAAUUGUUCUUGGAGAUCUAUGAGCUUCGUCAAGCGAAGGUUUGCUAUUCGUUGGAUUACCCUUACUUUUUAGAAUUGUGUAUGCAGUCAUAUUUAAUUUCUUCCACUCAUUAUCAAUUCUCACAUUAUAAGCCCAGGUGGCAUUAGAGUAAAUUUCAAAGCUCUCUAGUAUCAAUCCUCACAUUAUUACGUUUCAAAACCCAAGAUUGUGUGAGAACCGGUUAGAUAUAUAAACAAAGCCAUCAUGUCUCCUUUUUUAAGAGUGUGUCAUUUUCCUUUAGCAAAACUGAAAAGCAGUGUGACCAGCUUGUUCUUAAAAUAUGUAUGUUAUGUUAUGGCAAAUGAUAAAAUUAUGUGUGAAUUGUAAAAUAAUGGCUGACCUCUUUUUCUAUCAAAAUAUAGUAUGAUUGAACUAUGUGGUGCUUAUAUUUUCUCCUUUAUUCUGAUUAUUGGGGAAAACUGGUAUCUUUCAGGAAGCUGCUGCUUAUUCUCGAACUUGGAGAGGACACAUGCAGAAUCUACUUGGCUAUGCUUGUUCUGCAUAUUGUGUGUAUAAAAUGAUCAAGGUAUUGUGAUGUCAGGAAUCAUUAUUUAAGCUAUAAUUAAUCUUUCUUAAUAAAGCCAAUGUUUUAACUGGUGAAUUAAAGCUGUCUUAAGGUAUAGAUGGUUUGCAAGAAUUGCAUGAUAGAUCUGGAAAUCAAAUCUAUUUACAGAACAGUGCUACUUAAACUAAUCUAUCAGUUAUUUCAUAACAACAUUCUUCAAGUAAAACGCUAAUUAUAUUAGGAUGAUGACUCAUUAAAUCUUAGCCCAGAUAAAGCUCGUGAAGUGUGGGACUGCUAAAAUUGCCAAAAUAUUCCAAUGGCUGAAAAUCAGAACAUAGAAUACCAUCUUCCAUAACUAAAAUUAGGAUAAAACACGAUUGCACACCAGAAGUUUGGCCCAGAUUUUACACUUGGUACUCUUUAUUUUGUUUCCUCAGGCUCUCUCAAUUUUGGUACUGUGUGAAAUUGUUAAAUGUGGAUUUAGACUUAAUGGGGAGCUUCCUACAUGUCUCACUUGGGAUUGGUAAUAUCUUAAAUAUGAACUUUAGUUAGUAAAUGUACUAACUAUCUAAACUACAAGGGAAUUUUCCCCAAGGGAUUUUCUGUUAAAUCUAUCACCCUCUCCAUUUAUCAGUUUCACAUUUUGCCAACAUUUCAGGUGUGAUGUGUACUUUAUCUAUAUAAGUGUCAGAUAAAUUUAAUGAUACCUGAAUUAAAGAUGUAUUUGUCUCAGCUUUGUAAUGAAAUAUGACAUACUAAUUUCUGUAUUUAGGGAUCUCAGCACCUUAAGCUGCCUUUUGUGUUUAACUUAACACUGAAAUUGUGGGAGUUUGGCAAAUUUAGUAAGAGAGGAAUGCUACAAUUUUGAAGUAAAGAGAAAAGAUAGCUUUUUUGUCUGUUUUUUAUCAUUUAGGAAAGAUUACUUAUCCUAUCUCUAUAUUAAUAUCUUUUUAAUUUAAUUCAGACAAUAAUAACAGUUGCAAAUGAUAAAUAAUUUGAAAUAAUUAUGGUAUAGUGCUGUUUCUAGAUCAUUUCUCUCUCCUUGCAAGCAAUAGGGAACUAGGGAAUUAUGGUAAAAAAAAAUCUCUCAUCAGUUAUUGUAGCACACCAUGCAGUUAAUUACAACUUGUAUUGCUUCUCUCUAUGAUGAUAUAUUCCUGUUUUGGAAAGUACAAUUGAGACUGACUUAAUAUAUGAUACCGUUUUGUAGUGGCAUCUAUCUGAUGGUAAUAUCAAUAAUAAUAUUUUCUCAUUUCUCUAGCAAAUGAGAUAUCUUAUCAUUUCUUAACUGUAGAUAAUAUGGCUAACUUAAUAAUUUUCUUUUGACAGUCGUUGCAGAGUGUUGUUUUCAAACAGGUAAAUUGUAUUCCUCAGCAAUUCUUCAAUUUGAUCAUAUCUUUUGCUAUUAAAGAUUUCAUAAUAUAAAAUUACCUCUUCCUAGCUUUUAGGCUGACUCUUGUAUUAUUAAUGUGUUUCUAUGACAGGAUGGUUCAGUUGAUCCCGUGACAAGGAUAAUAAGUAUAUUCCUUCAGUUCUUUGAUAUAGGAAUAAAUGCAGCCAUGUUAUCACAGGUUAGAGUCCAGUUGUUUGCCAUUGCUUUCUACAAUUAAAUGGUGCCUUUCUUCUGAAUGUGAUUCCUAUCCCUGGUGGAUUCUAGUUUAAAGAUAAAAAUGGACAUUUUCUUAUUUUGUAAAUGUUAUUUGUACUGAGGUUAUUGGGAUGGGCUUGUUCUUAUUAUACUACAUGCAUUUGUCCUACAAUCAUUAUGAUACACAUAAUAUUGAGAGCCUGAUUACAGUUAAGUUAGAGCACCCCAUUUACUCUAUUUUCUGUGGCCUGACAUCUCAUAAAUCUUAGCAGUAAAUAUCUUGAAGUUUCUAGGCAAAACUGCUUGUUGAAUUUCUAUUUUGUUGUAAACUUCAAGAGUUAGCUUGGGAGUUUAGACUUGUUUAAUAUUACUAUUUUGAAGUCUGAUAACUUUCUUUGUCCGCAUUUGGUUAAUCCUCCCACUAAUCAGUAAUCAUACUGAGAUCACCAUUGACACUUUACAUGAUGAAGCAGAAAUAAAGUAUGGACUUGUUGAGAAAUAGGAUAUUCAUGAAUCAAAUAUGCUUUAAUUGGGUUAGUUGAAUUGAAUGCAUUCUUGUAAGAUCCCAUUUUAUUUAUUUUCUGUUUUGUUAUUUGGAUUUUCCCAUAAAAGUUCACUUGUUGGUAGGUGUUUUGCUAUUUGUAAUAAAAAUUAUAAAUUACUUAGAUGGUACUUAAUGGUUUGGUGUAUCUUUUUUUUUCCAAUUUUUUCUGCGUUUUUUUGUGCAGUACAUCUCCUUGUUAUUCAUCGGAAUGUUGGUUGUGAUAUCAGUCCGUGGAUUCUUAACAAAUCUGAUGAAGGUAUUCCUGCUACUUUCAAUUGCAAAUUUUUUCCAUUUGAUGUUGCAUGGGUUAGAAGAACAGCACUCUUCAAUAGACUGUUAAACAGUCUAUUGAGGAGUAUUGUUGAUAAAAUCGCAAUCUGCUUUCACCCUCUUUUGUUGGGGGUGCAUCAGUUGAGCCAUCGAGAAAAGAACUGAGAAUUUCAUUAAAAGGAAGCUAAGCUAUUAUUGUGUAUGGUAGCAAUAUGGCUUUGCAGCACAAACACAAAUGGAAAUUUGGAAGGCUGGUUUUUGCUUACAAUCUAGGACGAUCUAUUUAAGAAUCAAUAUGCCAUAGAAGAAUAAGCAAUGUAACUUCCUGCCAUGUAUGUAAAUUAGUAAAUGUAUUAUCUACCUACUUCAUUGGAGGCAACAGGAAACAUGCCCAAUGUCUAAAUCAAAUUUUAUAUGUUUUUGCAAUGCAUAUAACUUUUUUAAUUAAAAAGAUCUUUACUACAUAAGGGGGUUAAAAGGAAGAAAACAUGCUGAUUGGCAAUCUCCAUUAGAAAUUUGAACCAACAAAUAAGCAUCUGAUACCUAUAAUGCCAAUGAUCAAUUGAAUCUCUGAUAUGUGAUGCCUUCAUCACACUGAAAUGAUGGUCUUCCAACAUGAAAGUUCUGUUACUGGUUUCAAUCGAUUUUUGUGAACUAAAAGAAGUACACUAAUAUUAUAAGUCUCCAACAUCCACUUUUUAUUGUAACAUCAAACAGAAGAGAAGUUUGAAGAAGCAAUGAUCAUUCACGAUGAGAAUUCACUAUUAAAGAGAACUUUGAGUUCUUUAUUGAAGAACUAUAUCUUUGUAUUGCCUGUGGAUAAAUAAUUAUUACAGUAAUUUAGGAAAUCUAUUUGUUUAUUUUAUGUUCAUUAGUAAUAAUUAUGGUAGAACUACACCACCACCAGAGUUAUUAUAGCAAGUUAAUUUGUCAUAUGGGUUAUAGUUAGCUUUAAAGGAUUUGUAUUUGGGCAAGCUUUAUUAUUUGGUGCAAACCAUUUGAGUAUAAUUUCAAAUAAGUUUAUUAUUUUGUGGUUUCUUUGAGAUUUAUCCUGUGUAUUUGAGAGUUUUGCUUGGAUUACAUCUUGUUCUAUGUGGUCUAGGAACAGUUUGGCUUCACUAAAUAUAUUUAGAGUUACAAUUUGUAUAUUGUCGACUUAUUAUUGUGAAGCCUAACUUUCAUUUUUGGUGUUCCGUGCAGUUCUUUUUUGCUGUUUCAAGAGUUGGAAGUGGGUCUUCAAGCAAUGUAGUUCUGUUCUUGUCUGAGAUUAUGGGAAUGUAUUUUGUAUCUUCUAUUCUUUUAAUCAGAAAAAGCUUAGCAACUGAAUACAGGUAUAAGUCCUAAUUUGUGCAUUAAUUAUUUUUAAAUAGUAGAAACCUAUCCAGUAUAACAAGAAUUGUGGAUUUUUAAAUAUUAUUUACCUGUGGAUGGAGAUAACAACACAUUAUUAGGGGGAGAAAGUAACAAUAAAACGAAGAUUUUGGUGGCUAAUAAAGAGUUUUUUGGUGGCUAAUGGGUACAAUAAAACUAUACACAUAGAAAAUAAGUUGUCAGAAAAAGAAAAAGUGAGAGCUUGAUGAGAAUUUUGGUUUGAUUUUUUUUAAUACCAAACACUCCCCGAGGAUUCUGACAUCCUCAUAAUAAUGCAAGAGAUGGAGAAGAGAAAUGAAAAUAGAAGAAUGAACAGCAACGAUAGUCAUAUUGGUAUCUAUACAAUCAACAGACUAGUUUUCAUAGUUUAGAACUAAUUUCGUACUAGUUGCAGUAUAGAGUAUGAGUCUGUGUUUUGAUUGAUGCAAAUUUGGCAUGCUUGAACAUCAAAUUGCAUCAAACUUCAAUUGAUGAUCACGCAUUUUAUCUUAAUGAUGUCUAAUCCGAAUCUUUGGGCAGGAUUAUUAUAACAGAGGUAUUGGGUGGUGAUAUCCAGUUUGACUUUUAUCACCGAUGGUUUGAUGCAAUUUUUGUGGCAAGUGCAUUCCUUUCACUGCUUUUACUUUCUGCGCAUUACACAUCUCGCCAAAUUGACAAACACCCAAUUGAUUGUGAGUUUAAUUCUGUCACUUAAUCAAUCUUCUUUCUGGCAUUAUGAUGAAUAGAUCCACCAACUUGAUAUUUGAAUUACUCACCAUGUCCUCUGUUUAUUUCUAUGUAGAACAGGAAACACACUCCCUAAAUAUGCAUGUAUAGUUUCUAAUGCCACGGAGGGUUUGAUGCCAGGCCAAUGAACAUACAAGUUUAAAUCUUCCAGAUGGAUGCAUUUGAAUUCAUUUGAUAGCUGAUGGAAGGUCCUUCAUUAUUUUAUUUGCCAGUGAAUAGCUUAUUAGAAGAUCUGAUGCUGGAGCAAAUCACCAAUGAGAAGGUUGAUAUUGUUUGUUAUAUCUUAUAUGCACGCUGCCAAAUCUUUUAGAGUACCCAUUUUUUUGGAUGUUUUUCUAUGGAAAGUGAAAUUUUCUGAACAGUUGCAUCAUAUGCUUAUGUUCAAUGUAGAUUUGCUUAUGCUUACAUAAAUAUAGAAUGAAUUGGAGGAUGUGAAUAGUUGUUGCCGUUGGGAUUUUGGUACCAUGGAUCUAAAGAACAGUUCCAUAGUUUAUUGGUAAUUAGUAAUUUGGAUUAGCAGUGGUUGAAUUUCCCACUGAAAUAUUUUGUUUGUUUGUCUUGAAUAUUUUCCUUUUCUGGUGUCAGUAUAUUUCUUCUAUAACAUUUUAACUAUAUGAUAUAAUGAUGAGAUAAUAUAAUGAAAACUAUACCUAUGAUAUGAAAUGAGAAACAAUAGUAUAUAUUAACAUAAGUUGCUAAAAUCAGUGUUAAAGAUAUAUAAAACAAUAAAAAACAUAACAAUAGAAUUUAUUAACAAAUAAUGAGUAAAUAUUUUUAAUUUUUAAACAAAUAGAUAAUGAGAUAUACUUAUCAUUACAAGAUUUUUAUAUAACAUUAAAUUAUUUUUCCUAUUAACUAAUCAUGUAAUUAAAUAAACAAAGUAGCAUCUUUCAUCAUUUUAUGGAAUAUGUAAUUUUGUGAAGAUCUAAAAAAUGAUUAGGAAGAAUAAAAAUAUAGUAUCUUACAUAUUAUUAAAUAUACCACACUAUAUGUGUUGAGAGAUAAAUAACUUUUUUUUUGUUAAAAUAUAAAAUCCAUGUGAAAAAAUAAAUAAUUUUAAAAUUAUAUCAGUGUUACAUAGUUGUAAAGUGAUAUUUUUCACACUUAUCAAAAUGUGAUCCACGGUAAAAGAAUAUUUCUUUUUUUAAUUCUAGUUAUAAUCUAGAAUAAGGUUGUCAACCCAUGAAUAUUAAUGAAAAAAAACCUGACCUUUGAAGUCAUAAUACUUAGUGUUUGGAUCAUUGUUAAAAAAAAAAAAACAGAUAUGAAUAUUUGACAACAGUAGAUAAAGAUGAAUUAAAUUUCAAUUUUAAAAUAGCUGCAAAGAUAAAACUGUAACAUGGAGAUGGGAAUGCUUAGCCACACCGCAAUCAAAUUUCUUCGCAAAUGUGGACCAAACUUUUUCUGUGAGUCUCACCAACUUUUGGUUACAAAAUACUCAUUAUUUUUUCUUAGACUAUUUCUUCCUACAUCUCUAUAUAUUAUUCUCACGCCUCCAUAAUUUUCAUAUUUCUAAAAAUACUUUCUUUAUAAUAAUACAUAAGAAAGUCGUUUUUCCGUGUUUGUAAUUAGCUUUCGAAUUACGUAAUCAGAAAUCUGUUUUUAUUAUAAUAUUAAAAUUUAAUUAAUUUUAUUAUCUAAAAAGUGAUAUUAAUAAAUAUAUUUAAAUAAAUAAAUUAUAAAAAAGACUGUAAAGUUUUUGAAAAGUGACAAAACAACUCAACCUAUCACAAAAUGGAUUACUAUUUUCAAUUGCGUAACAAUUUACAUUCUUGGACAAUAUGUUCAGAUUUUCUGAAAUAGGUUUAGAGUUUAGGGUUUAGGAUUUAGGGUUUAGGAUUUAAUAUUUUCCUUUUUCUGGUGAGUAGCAUUUUAACAAGUAUAUGGUAUAAUGAUGAGAUAAUAUCAUGAACACUGUAUCUAUGAUGAUAUGAAAUGAAAAAAAUUAAUAUAGAAAACAAUAAGUUGCUAUAAUUAAUAUUAAAGAUAUAGAAAACAAUAAAAAAAAUAUAACAAUAGUAUUUAUUAACAAAUAAUGAGUAGAUAUUUUUAAUUUUUAAACAAAUAGAGAUAAUGUUUUAUAUAUUCGAUACAACAUUAAGACACAAGUGGAUUUUAUUAGAAAAAUCAAAAUUAAAUAAACUGAAAAAAAAAACAAAAAUUAUAAUUUCUAUUUUUUUAAUAAUAUUUUUUUCGUGUGAUAAUAGAUAAUUGUUGUUAUUUAGAGUAAGUAUAUAUGAUAUAUCAAGUAAUAUUACUGACAAAAGUUUUAUAAAAAAAAUUUGAAUAGAAAUGAAUUGAUAGUUAAGAGAAGUUUUAUAAAAAAAACUGAACAUAAAGUUUUAUAAAAAAAUAAAACUGAACAAAAAUGAAUUGAUAGUUAAGAGAAGUUUUAUAAAAAAAAAGGAACAUAAAAAUUUUAUAAAAAAAAAAACUGAACACAAAUGAAUUGAUAAUUAAGAGAAGUUUUAUAAAAAAAAGGAACAUAAAAAUUUUAUAAAAAAAAAAACUGAACACAAAUGAAUUGAACAGUAAUUGUUGAAGUUAUGUGACAAUAGGAAAAGAAGAACAUUAAAAACUGUCUAAUUGUUGAUAACAAGAGAACAAAAUGAAUUAAAAAAUUCAUAGAGACCAAUAAAUUAAUCCAUAAUCAAUUAAUUAUGUGAUUAAUACUUCACUUUGAACUUGAUGAAUGUGUAAUAAUAAGAUAUUCUCGUUACAAGAUUUUUAUAUAACAUUAACUUAUUUUUGUAUUAAUUAAUAAUGUAAUUAAAUAAAUAAAAAAUAGCAUCUUUCGUCAUUUUAUGGAAUUUUUUUUUUGUGUAAACUCAAUAUCUUUUAUUGUGAAUAUAUUGAGGUUGACGUCUUGAUAAUCUUAUAUCAGAUUUGGAUAUAAUCGAAAAUAUAAAUAUGUUUUUAUAAAUUAUGAAAUAUAUGUGAAGAGAUAAAAUAAUUAUAGAAUUGUAUUGUGUGACAAUGUAAAGUAUGUAAAGUGAUUUUUUUACUCUUGUUAAAAGUAUGAUUCAUAUUUUAGUAAAAAAAUUAUUCAUUUAUAAACUGGUAUUCUCUUAUCAAUACUCUUUCAAUAUUGUUUUAAUAUAGUCUUGUAUUGUUUAAAGUCAAGAUCAAUAAUAGUUUAUAUAUUUCUCACUCUUUCAAUUCACGAAAGUGUCUUUUAAGGACAAAAUCGUGACAAAAUAUCAACCUCAAAAACAAGGACAAAAUCGUGAUAAAAUAUCAACCUAAAAAACUGACAAUAUUUCAAAUGCGAUGCUCUAAUAAGGUUAUCUCUUCGAUUUAGGUCAAACAAAUAUUAAUGUUAAUGAAAAAAUAUUAGUUCUUCGACAUAAAUCAGAACAAAUAAAAUAUUAAUAUUAAUGAAAAAAAAAUCAGUCUUUGGAUCAUUGUUAAAAUAAAAAUAAUUAAAUUUAAAUUUUAAAAUAACUGCAAAGGAUAAAACUGUAUCAUGGAGAUGGGAAUGCUUAACAACACCGCAAUCAAAUUUCAAGGCAGAUUUGUGACUAAACUUUUUCAUUUGAUGUGAGUUUAACCAACUUUUGUAACCUUUCCUUCUCAUUUCUCACCAAAUCACCUUCCACAAAUCUUGUAUAAAUGGUUACAAAAUAUUCAUUCAUUUUUCUUAUUCAACAAUAUAAUUACCCUUUUUAGUACAUUUUUUUAAUAAGAUUUUUAUCUAUAAAAUUUAAAUACAAGACUUUUAUUAGAUAUGAAUUUUAAUUUUACUUUAAUUGUUUGCUUCUUAGUUAUUACAUAAAAGUACCAUGAGUUAGAAGUUGGAGAGCCAAUUGUCUAAAUAUUUAAUUUAUUUAAUAAACAUAUAACCAUUAAAGUUCAUAAUUUUAUUUUCUAAACUAUAAAAGAAUAUAUAAAAAAAAAUAUUUAAAUAAAAGACAAGUUAAAUAUGGUUUCAAGUGCUCAAUAUUACAAUGAAAAUCAUUGAUUGCAUGACAAAGAAUUUCGUACAUUUAUCAUAGAAAUUGUUAUUAAUUGUUGUGUGAAAAUAUACUAAAUUAGAAUAAAAUGUUAUUAUCUAUAUAAAUACAUAAAUUAAUAAAUAUUUAAAUAAUAAAUACAUAUAACAACAAAUUUGUAUGUAUUCUCGCAAUAUCAAUAUUAACAACAAACUUAUGAUUGUGACAGCCUUGAACACAGUUGUAUGUAAUUUUUCACAAUAUCACUAAUCACAACAAAAUUCUGACAACGACUAAUAGUUAAACAAAAUAUUCAAGAGGCCCUUAAUUCCCCGCUUAUUAGAACUUUUGACUGUUUCUUCUCCAUACAUUCUUGUGUCAUCUUAAACUAAAUACUAAAUAUGAAAAAUUAUGCCACCUCAUACAUAAUUUGGAAGAUGUUUUUGAACCAAAAAAUAUUCUUUAGAUUUAUAAAAUUUGAAAGUCUUUUUUUGGAUUUAAAAUAAACCUAUAAAUUAUUUAAUCCAUAAACUAAUCACAUAUCCAUAAAAGACUUCUGAAUCAUGUAAUCUAGAAGUUAAUCACACAUUAAAAAAAAAAAAUCGGAUUACAUAAUCUAGAAGUUAAUCUCAUGUUCAGAAAAGACUUCCAGAUUAUAAAAUCUGGAAGCCCAAAAACUAAUUAAUCCAAAAUAUUUAAAACUCUACAUUUUAAUUUAAGAGUUUUGUUUUCAUUAUCAUUGUUAGAAUAACCGUUGCCUUAGUUAUUAGUACACUUAUUGAUAACAAAUAUUUGCAGCAUAACAUAGCUCACCAUUUCACCUAACCGAAUAUACUCCAGAAUUAUUUAAUUAUACCAUUAAAAAUAUGACGAUUAGUCUUCUAAAGAUAUAUAGUCCUUUCAUUAAAUUAUGAUACUUAUUUGUAUGGUUUUUUCUAUGAGAAUAAAAAUGAAAGAAGAGCAGAAUCACAAUAUAUCAAGAUACGUAAUUACACGUUUGACAUGAGACCUAACACGUUUGAUAUAGAGCUUGGCAUUGGAAAUGUUUAAAUUAAGAUGAUGUGAGUGCAGGAGGAAUAUAAAAAGGGAAAAGAGAGAUGAUGAAGCCAGGAACAAAGGAAACCAUGCCAUAAAAGUAGUGAUCCGCAAGUUCCUAGUAAGAUUUCUGAGAUUAUAUGGGCUGAAAUUCUCUCUAUAUACAGACAGCCAUAACUAUGCGUUUUGAAACCAAAAAGAAAGAAGAAAAGCAAGUAUUUAACAAAGGGGUAAAGAGAUUAGAAAAAAGUACUUAUUUUUUGCCGGGCACAUGAACAGGUGGAAGUCUCUUCUCUGUAUAAGGGAUUCACUGAUGAUGGAUAUGGCUGCUUUAUCCAAGGCAUCUGGAACAAGAUAAUGUACAUGGUUAGAAAUAGCAAAGCAACGCAGCAUAUUUAUUUAUUUGUCGGUGAAUCUCCCAAAAAGAAGAAACGACGACUUGGCGUUAUGCCCAUCGGUGGGCAAAGGCUCAUUUUUUGUAACUGGUUUCAUAUGUUCUUUGCUUGAAGAUGGAAAGGAUAGUGACAAGGAAAGAGAUGCAGCAACGUUCUCAUCGUCUCGCUCAAUAUCUGGAGUCUUUUCCGGGUUAAUUUUCUUGUCAACUGCACCAACAAAGAAUGGCAGCAUACUCUUGUGUGACGGUUUUGUUUCACCCCCCAAAGCAAGCUCCAAAUUUGGAAUCCCAACUUCAAAUUGGUCCACGUACUCACCAGCCCCAUUCAGUGACUCCCUGUUCACCACCAUCCCCGAGUUAAGUUUAUUGCGAUUAUCAACAGGAAAAAAGGUUCUUUCCAUCGUUCCUAAGUCCUCGUGGAUGAUUUUCUCAUCGCAAGCUUCUUUGCACCCUUUGCCCACCGAAGAACAGGAACCAAGAUCGUUCACAAGGGAUGCAAAACUACCAUUGAAAGAGACCCUGGCUCCAGCAGAUUCGUUGCAUUCAAAAACUCCACCCAAACUUUUUUGCAGCUUCUUGCUACUUUCUGUGUCUUCCAAUUUGCAAUUUACCACAUUCAAAGGACGUUUCUGAGAACUAACUGCAGAAGCCUCCACAAGUGUAUCUGAUAGAUCUAUAUGCUUAAUUUUUUUAUCAUUAGGUACCAGACAGUUGGCCCCUUUCAAAUCCAGGUCUCCCUGAAGCAUUGUUGCCUCCUCGUUAAUAUUGAGAUCAUUUUCCAACUGUUUCCUUUUAGGCCUUCGCUGAUUCUCAUCGUAUACUGUUCUCUCCAAAAUUUUAUCCUUAAUGAUAUUACUUGCAGUAUCUAUUUGGCAAUCGACAGAAGGGAUCUCCAAAGACGAAGAGGGCUCUUGCUUACCAGAAAUAUCAGGAUUAGUUUUUGUUUCCACAAUCCUUCUACUUACACUAGUUCCCGUUACUUCAGGAGGUUUAGACUGUAUGCAUUGUCGAUGCUCUGGUGCACUAUCUCCCUGCAAAUACCAAGAAUAUCAUUAAAAAACAAUGAGAUAACUAGUAGCAGGACUUACGCUUUCAUAAAACAUUUAUAACUUCUAUCCUCCUAAAAAGUGGUUACCAUCAUCUCCCAUAGCAGCAUUUUCUUCUUUUACUUAUUAUACCUAUUUUUAACUCCCCUUGUAUAUCAUAAUUGAAUGAUUGACAAGAGUAUAUAAUUAACAACUAACGUUCUCAACCUCCUUGUAGAACCAUCAAAAACUAAUCAGUACAUAGUCUAUAAUUCAGAAAAUAAAAUUAGCAUUUCUAAUUUACCACUACUACAAAUCAAGAUCAUAUCACAAUUUAAGCGGAAACAAACAGAAACUCUUGAAUCUAUCAAACAUAUAUAAGGAUAAAAACAUUACCAGGGAUGAACCAGUAGAAUUCAUUUCUUGACACAAUUGAGUACUGGUGAUCAGAAUCCCUGAUGUAGAUUUGGUGUUGACACUAGAAUCUGGUGUCUCUAACUUCACUUGCAACUCCAAAUGUGUCUGGCCAAACACAGUUCCUUUACUAACAAAAUUCCUACAUGGCAUAUUGUUACCUUGGUCAAUGGACUCUUCGUUGACACGUUUUGGUGAACACCAAGUUUCAGACAAAGUCAUGACAGCAGACGGGAAAUCCUUCUCAUUUGGCAUCACAUUCAAACUAGGAAUACAUUUACUUUUUGUGGAAUUUGAAUGAUUUAUCCUCCUCCCUCUAAAUGUACCCCAUAGGAAAAAUAACAUAUUCCAACCUGCAGAUAAAGUUUAAACAGUUGAUAUUUCUUAUUAAAAAUCCUUGUUGCAUAGAUGAUCAUUUAUAUUUUCAGUUAAAUAAACUGCCAAACAACCCAUAUUGAGCACACCCCACUGAUGAUCAAAAGGGACAAAAUUAACAGGCCAAAGCAUAACACUAUCAACAAACCAAUGCCCAACUAGAGCAACAAAUCACCACCACUGACAACAAAGCAUUAUUGUCUUAUGACCUUCCCUUGUCUGUUUCAUCCAGACGAGUUGGUUUUAGAAUUCCAAUAUCUUAUAAAACAAAAUAUAGAAUUCUGAUUCAAAAUGAAUGGAUGUCAUCAACCGGCAUCAGGUAUAAAUACAUCCAAGUUCAUAAAAAAGUCCAAAAUACAAUAUAAAACAGAUGCAAGCAAACUCUUUCUUAGAAGACAUUGCAAAGUUGCAUAUGAAACAAAUUUCUAAAGAACUUGAUAGUUAAUGCAAACAUAAACUUCAACCCAACACCAAAGCCAUAGCAUAAUUCACUAAGUUGCCACUAUCUCAGGAAUUGUUUAGCGAGAGUCCAGAAUAAUUUCUUACGCUGUGAGUCUUCCGGAAGCUGAUUGGAUGCAAAUAUGAGAAGUUCAACGCCACCAAACAUUCCCCUAAGUGCCAAAUCAUUUCUAAUCAUGUGAUCCAACAGACCCUUGUAGUGUCUCUCGUAACUGUAAUAGAAAAUUGUUAGAAAUGAAUGGUAAAUAAUUUACAAGAUAGGAAGCAAAGAAUUAUAUUUGCGUUUCAAUGUCUAUUGUCAAUGGAAGAGUGAUAUUUAUAUUCUUGCCUUUCAGUGUCUUUGGCAAAGAAGUAAAGAGCAAUAUUAUCUUCCUUAGCACCACUUUGAUGAAAUUGUGAAGGCCAUAUGCUCAAUCGAGAAACUUCAUUUAGGGAAACUUCAGGUGAAAAAUUCCUUACUGUCUCAAUAACCUUAGGAGAAGCACAUGCAGAUAAAUGUGCCUGAAUUCCAGCAUACAAGUCAGGAGGCGGCUUUCCAUUUCUAUGCACUUCAAAGACACCCCUGCAUGAACAAUAAAACUCAUAAAACACACUUGAUGGCAAACCAUGAAGAGUGAACAAAACAAUCCAGAAAAGAAAUCAACUAGCUCAUCAUAAGAUGUUACAUACUGCCAGAUGUACUCAUACUCCGGAAUGACUGACAUCUUUGAAAGAACACUUGAGAGCACCAUGCCAUUAUUGGCCAAGUCUCUCACUACCGGCUCUCCAGAAGUAAGACCAACAAAAUCCGACUUUCUCAGCUGAGAGCAAAUAUCAGUUUGGAAAAAUUUAAGUUGCUUCGGAUCAUUAGCAGAUGGACAUUUAGUGGUUUCAAAUGAAGAACUCUCAACAAUUUCCUGCUUCACAUUCGUUUCUUCAGCAUAUAUACUAUUCUUUAAUGUGCUGGAAACCAACACUUGGUUUUGAGAAGUGACUUCACGUUUGAAACCUAUGAUUGAUGUAGGAAACUCAUUAGUUUCAUCAGGACCUUCUUUCUUCUUGUGUAUUUCAGGCCUCCUAAGCAAAGCUGCCUGGAUUGCAGCUUUCAAUCUAUUUCCCUUAUGCAUCUCCUCUUUUGAACUACUUGUAGCAGUGACUGAUGCUUCAGCAACAAAUUCUUGGGUACCACUAAUUGAGCAACAUUCUGUAGCAUGGCCAAAAUCUUUACAUUUACGACAAAAUGAACUUUUUGAAGCAUUAGUAACACCUGACCUCACAUGAUCACUAGAACUAUCCUUUGUUCUGUCAACAUGAUUAACAGUUUCAUGUGAUCGAGGCAGCCUAUCCUGUUGAGUUUCAUUGACACUGGUUGAUGUUUUAUCUGCAAAAUCCAAACAAUAACUAAAUAAGAAACCAUCAUUGCAGAAAACAUAGUCCACCUAAAGCACAAAAAUCCAUCAUAGGUACAUGCUCCUACUAAAAUUAAAAUAAGAGAAAAAUGAUAGAAAAUGCUGUUACUAGAUAGAAAACUGAAAUUUUAAAAGCAGCUAAAUGAACUAUUUUAAAGAAGGUUGAAAUAUUCCAAUAAUAUAACAGAAAUAAAAUGUCUCCACUCGAGAUCACACUCACACCUGAACUAACUUGAGGUUCUGGACUUCUACUGCCUGUAUUACUCAUAGACUUUGAUAAUGAAUAUACUUUUCCAUCUUGGUUGACCUUAAACUCUCGAUUGUUGUUAACUGUAUAAGGUUUAGCAGUUUCACCAAGAGGAGCAAGCUUAUGAUCACCUUUUGAUGUGGAAACAGAACUAACCAUAGUUGAAUGAAUGACAGGUCGAUCAAUCUUAGGUUGAAAUUUCUUGUCAAGUGAACCCAGUUCUUUUGUAUGUCUUAAUGCUUUCGAAUCCUGAACAAUUCCAUGUUUAGAAAAACUAGAUUUAACUUUUGAUUCAUUAGUAUUUGACCGCCCCAAGUGUGAGGAUUUAAAUGACAUUGAUUUGCUUAUCAUCCCAGUAGGUUUCUCAAGAUUCUUAGAAAUAUGUUCGACACCCCCUUUCUGCUUUUGGGGAACAACUUCAUCGACAAGUUUGAUUCUAGGCUUGGAAUUGAAGUUGUUGAAUGAAUUGGACUUCAACAACGUACCUAUUCAUAGAAACAAAAAAUCAUACUAUGAAUUAAAUGAAAAGAUGAAACCCAGGGAAAUUGGAGACAUUGAUAUGUUUGCCAUGGAAUUCAAGGCCGAUUAUAAGGAACAAAGAAAAUAAAGUAAUGAAGUUCAGUAGAUGUCAAAUGUAACCAUACUCCUUGGAUUUUGACUCCGAGGGCCAGUCGAAAGAGAACGUGCAAGGUCUACAUCAUCACCACCAUGGUGGUUACGCACAGGGACCUGUUGCCCAGAUUUCAUCUUUCCUUUAUCCAUGCUCUUGAGAGAAGAUUCCCGUGACAGUGAGACUAUUCUCUUUGGGCUUGAUGCCUUCGGUGAUCCUGUGCUUGAUUCAAGAGCUUGCCUUUUUGCUGCUGUAGCUAUUUCCAUGCUUUGAGAAGGUCUUUUGCCAGAAAUUUGUGAAGCUGAAAUAACUUUAUGAAGUUUUUUUUCUUCAAUAACUAAAACACAAUUAAAUUUAACAAAUCUGUUAGCACAUACAUGGGCACGUGAAAACUUAUGCCAGCCAAACUAUAGUAAGAAAAAAGGAUACAAUUUCAUAUCAGAGGGCACUCCUUUUCAAUACCAUGAUGCACAACAUUUUUCAAAUAAAAUAUGCUGUACACAAAGAACUUCAUGAUUACCUAGCCUUCGAUUUGCCGUCUCCUCCACACACUUGCAUUCUUCACACAACCAAUCACCUUCAGGGAGUUUGACAAGCAUUUCCCGCAUGCAGUAGCUGAUUCAAUGAUACCAUAAUGUUAAGUCUCAAUUUAGUGAAAAGGACUAUGCAACAAUAUUAUAUGUAAUAUAAAAGGAUCUUGUGCAUACGUGUGCUCUGCACCAUCACUACACCUACUACAUAUGGCAAGUAGAUCUUCACGACCAGCAUCUCCACAGAUGUCACAUACUUUUACCUAUUUCCAAGUCAAUUACAGGGGGAACAUCACAGUGAGCAACAUCAGAGAAGUGUGUAACAAAAAAGAACAGUUAAGGUAAAGACAUAAUGAAGUGGAGAAUAUGGAAUAUUUACAAACUAAGUUGAUUGUUUGGCAUUACCCCAAGCCUAAAAAAUAAUUAAGAUUAUGCACACACAUCAAUCUUCAUUCAUGUUCAAGCCAUUACAUUCUACUUCUCCCAUUUACAUCUCCAUUGAGUUUACUUUUGAUGCAAAGAAACUAAAAUAAUGAAAGAACAUGCACUCACAUCAUGCUCAACAACAUCUGAUUCAUGACCCUCAUCUUCUGAUAGAGGUUCAGACCUGCCAGAUGAUUUAAUCAGCUUAUCAACCUUCGCAUGCAGUCCAUCAAGGGCUGAAUAUUUAUGAUCUUCAGCUAUAGCAAUAUCAACAUUAUUUCCCAUAUCUGCUUCUGACUUCGGACAUAUUUCCACUGAAACUUUGGCUAUACCAUUAUUUAGGUUCUCCUUAUCUGCCACAGGUUUUUCACCAGCAGAUAUAAUAGGUACUCUCUCUUUGGUAAAUGAUGAAUCUACAUUUUCCAUACAGCCUUCUGACAAACCAGACAUGUCAACAGAUGGCCCAUUUCUAGAUCUUUCUGCCUCUAAGUGACUAACUAAAGUCGAACUACAAGAUACAUUUAUUCUGUCUGUAUUUAUUUGUUGGCUACCACUCGCUAAAUUAGCAUCACUGGUCCUACUGAUACAAGAAGUGAUAUCGUCAAGACUUUCUAAACACUUAGAAUCCUGAUACUUCCCAGAUAAGGCUUGUCCAUUCUCAACAUUUUCAGACUGAGAAUCAUGAGUUGAAGAAAUACUAGGCUUGUGACUGCUUUCAUUGACAGGAUGCUUCUUCAAUCUUUCACAAGCUCUGCUCCCAGGAGAAGAAGACCCAUCAGCCUCAACAGUACAAUACUGAUUAGCCUCUCCUAAGCGAGAGUUUUCAUCAGAGAAUUCUUUGGUCUUUGACCCCAUGAGAGCUCGGUUAAGAUGCAUGCAAGAUGAACAAGGAGCUGAGCACACAUUACAAGUCCCUGAUUCGAGUCUCAUUUCAGCUUUCUGAAUCAUAGAAUGUUCGUCAAAUUUCUUUCCAGAUUUGAGUGAUACCUAAAAUAAACCAAGGCAUGAUUUAAAAAAAUAAGCUUCAAUUCAGACUUCCACUAAUUACAAUCAGCUCUUUUUAGAUGAAGGCUACUACAGUCCAAUGGCAAAGUUUUACACUUUAACUGUGACAUUGAAACACAAAUGCAAGGGUUUAUUUCAAGCACAAGAGCUACACUACAUGUUAUCCAAACAUAUUAUCUAUCAAAAAUAUUAUUGAAAUUCAGCAACUAUUUCUUUGUUCUAUGUUGGGUGCAUAUUUGGCCAGGAAUGACUUGCCCAAACAAAACACACGGAAAUCAUUUUGAGUGAUACCUAAAAUAAACAAGGCAUGAUUCAAAAAGUACAACCUUCAAUUUAGACUUCCACUACUUACAAUUGAGCUCUUGCUAUUUUCUAAUUAUUUUUUAGACAAAGGCUACAAUAAUCCAAUGUCAAAGUUUUACACUUUAACUGAGAGAUUGACUAUGACAAACACAAAUGCAAUGGUUUAUCACAAGCACAAAAGCUACAGUACAUGUUACCCAACAUAUUAUCUAUCUAAUACAUUAUUGAAACUCAGGAACUACAUUUUCUAUGUUGGGUGCAUAUUUGCCCAGGAAUGAUUUGCCCAAACAAAACGCAUUGGAAUCAUGUUCAACUGGGACACCGUAAAGAAGUGUACUUGAUUGGCCUGUGAAGCUAUAACUUAUAUCAAUGAAUUCUUACCCCUACCACUCUUACAAAACUGGGUAAUUAAUUAGGUUUGUGUAUGUCAGCUUUAGCAGUAUUAAUUAGGUUUCUUUUUCAUACAUGCUGCCAUUAGAGCAGCAUCUGAGGUAAUGCCUCAGUCUUGUUUGGUUUACUUGAACUUCUUAAAUUAGGUGUAAUCAUACUUCUUAGUGAUUACUACACGUAAUCUUCUAUUACUAAACUCUUCUUUAAGCAGAAGUGUUAACAAUGAUGGUUUUAUCUUGUUCAGCUUUUAUAAAUCUGUUUUUUUGGUGUCUAGAAGAGUCAUAGGCUGUACCCUAUUUCCUUCUUUUCCUUCCCUUCUAUGCUUCUCCAUUUUAUACAUUAUAUACACCAAUGAGUAGGGUAAGAAUCACUAAGUAGGGUAAGAAAACACUUUUUUGUCACUUUCAAACCAGACGUCUUAAUUGUUCAAAACACGUACUUGGUAUUGAGGUGACCCAAUCAAAGGAAGGCAUUGUGAUAUAAGAGAAAAUAUAUUCUAGACAUUUUAGACGAGACAAACAUGACUGAGUGCAGGCCCAUUGAUAGUCCUAUGAAUCCAAAUAAAAAAUUAAUGGUUGAUCAAGGUGAACCCUUUUCAGAUCUUGAGACAUAGGAGAUUGGUGGGGAAGCUCAUUUACCUCACAGUCACCAAACCUGAUCUUAAUUUUGCACUUGGUUACUAGUAAGUUUAUGUAGAAUCCACACAUUGAUCACAAGGAUUUGUGAUUUGCAUUCCUAGAUAUAUCAAAAAUGCUCCUAAACAAGGAUCAUUGUAUGAUGAUAAGGGAGAUCGUCAAGGUUUAUGAAUAUUGUGAUGUUGAUUAUGUAGGAUGUCCUAUAGAUAGAUCCUCUACUACCGAAUAUUUUGUAUUUAUUGGUGGAAAUCUUACAUCUUAGAAGAACAAGAAACAAAAUGUCGUCAGAUCCAUCGCAAAAACUAAAUAAUUUAUGGCUUUGAUUACUUGUGAAAUUAUGUCGAUUAAAUAAUACCUUCAAUAGUUACAAUUUCGUCAAAAUCAACAAAUGAAAUUGUAUUUCACAUUGCUUCCAAUCUAGUGUUUCAUGAGGGAACUAAGCAUACAGUGAUUUAGUAUCACUUUGUUCAAGAGAGGUUGUUUGUCCAAGAAGAUUUGUAUAGAAUUUAUCAGUUUAUGUGAUCACUUGGCAGAUAUUUUAACUAAAUCAUUGAGAGGACCCUGAAUUCAAGUUAUUUGCUUCAACUUGAGAGGGGUGUUGAAACAAUAAUGUUUUUAUCUAUUGCUCAACUUUAAUAAAUGUGUCUUUUGGAGUAUCUAGGAGGGUCAUAGGAUGUACCCUAUUUCCUUCCUUUCCUUCCCUUAUAGGCUUCUCCUUUUUAUUCACUAUAUAUAUACAUCAGUGAGUAGGGUAAGAGUCACUAAAUUAUCUAAAAUCUCAUGUGGAAGGAAGAAUGAAGCCUAUAACUAAAACUGAAUUAAGUCCUGCCACGACAGUUCUUCGCAUGGACCACCCACCUUGCCAUACAGCCAAUGUGACCAGAACUUGUGUGUGCAUAGCAGGCUAAAUUUGAGCUAAACAAAAGAUGACUUCGAGACAUUUUACAAAAUAAAAAUUAUAAAAACAUACAAUUCACAACAAAUAAAUAAAAAAUUAUAAAUUUCAUUCUAUUUUUUUUUAAUUAGAAUAACCUAUGACAAUGCUAUAAGUUUGCUUCCAGAAGAGAUAGUUAAUGCACAAAAUGGCCUCCUUCGUCUUUAUUUUACAUCAACUACUAACUAAAGAAAUAACAAAAUAGUAGAAAUGGCAGAAGAUCGCAAGUUGCUUCCAAUGUUUAUAUUGCAUUAGUAAUUACGAGAGGAAAACAUAUCAAAAUGGUAAGAUAUAGCGAAUACUAAUAGCAGAACAUUAUGAAAGCAACAACUUUCCAAGAAACCUGUCAUUCACCAAAAUGUGAGCAUAUAAAGUAUACUCAUAUAACUUGAGCAAUCAUUAAGAGCGUUCAAUUGUCCCAUCAAGCAAGAAGAAGAGGAAAGUCAUAAGAAAUCAGGCUUAUCAGAUAAUGUAAUCCAAAUGAGGUUACUCUUUCUGUGUACGAAGAACUGAUUGCAACAAGAGAACGAAAAGGUCAGAUUGUGAAUUACCCUGUGUAUCUCACCAUGUUCUCUUGAACAUCAUGAUUACUCAAUAUUGCAGUUCUUCCAUGCGAAAACUCCUCUCGAUACUGAUGUCAUCUAGAAAGUAAAAUCAAACCACAUUAACAACUAUCACUUACAAACAGAAAAAUAGCACAAAUAUAAAAUCAUAAAAAAAAGUAAUUGCCAAUUUGCCACCAGCUAAAAAUGCUGCAAGUCUAGUUAGUCAACCAAUGACGUAAAAAAAAAACGAAAAUCUGCUCCAAAUUCCAAAAUCCAUUCAACUGACAAAUCAAACCCUAAAACAUACAUACACUGAAUUAGCCGCGGGAAAAGGAAUCCAAGUUCUAGUAUCAAUACAACGGAAAACAGAAUUCCGAGAGAAGCACAGCAAAAAAAACCGAUGAAAAAAAAAUCCGAAUUAUAAAAAGCAAAAACCCUAACAAUAAAUGAAUUGACAUGCCUUUUUCUUCCAAACCACGUUGGUCGCAUUGCACAGGCUUCCCUAAGGUUCAGCCAUUGCAUAUUGCAAUCAAGCGAAAAGUGCCUAUGCGACGUCGUUUGGAGUGGUGAAAAAUCCUCCAGAAAAAUCAGAGGUAGGAGCAUCCGUGAGGACCACCUACUCAAUGCAAAUUCAAAGCUAUACGCAAAGUGAAAUUACAGAGGAUUUGACACAAUCCUCACGCAUUCAUGAACAACAAUAAAUUAGCACAUCAACACGUAAUUUUUCUCGGUCUGUGAUCUGAAGCCGCGAAAGAAUAAAUCUCAGAAAAUGAUUUUUCUCACGAGAAUUACAUUUAACCAAACACGCUCUCUCUCUCUAUCUCUCUCUCAGUUUCUUCCUUUUAAUUUUUUGCGGGUUUAGAUAGGUUUUCUCUUCUUCUUCUUCUUCUUCUUCUUCCCAGAAAUUUUGCUUUCACUCUCUGGAUUUUCAACAAAAGUAAAUGCAGAAAAGCCACGAUUCAUUUAUUUUAUUUUCUGGCUGAUUCUAUACGGGUCUUCCCACGUAAGAUUCUUUUUUUAUUUUGAUUAUCAAUUAAUCACUAUGAGUUUUUUUGACACACUUUUGUGUAGGAAAAAGAUUGAUUAAGUUUUUAAUUAAGAAAAUAUUAGUUAAAUUUCUAAUAAUUUUAAGAUGAUUUUAAAAAAUAUAUAUUAAUUUUCAAAAAAAAUAAUAUUAUAAACCCUAAACCCUAAACCCUAAACCCUAAAAAUAAUAAAUAAAUUCCUUAAAUGUGUGCGAAACAUCUUUAUACUAAAAAAUAUUAAAAAAUACUUGUAAACACUAUGUAGCACAAACAUGAAUAUAGACACUGAAACAACACGGACACGGACAUAGAAAUACGUAUAAUAUCUUUAAAAUAUAGAAUAUGAGAACACGGAUAUAUGUAUUAUAUAAUUAUAAAUUAAUAAUAAAUAUUUAUGUGUACAAGUAUGUUUCAAAAAAUUUUGGAGGCAGAAAGAUUUGUUUCAUUACUGAUUCAAAAUAAUUUGUUCUUUAUCUUUAUAAUUAUAAUAAAAAAUUAUAUAAUAAAUUUUAAUUUUUAAAAAUUAUUAUAUAUUUUUUUUUAAAUUAUGUUAGAUUAUACACAUAAAUCUAUAUUAUUAAUUUAUAUAAUAUAUAGAUUUUUGAUCUCUAUAUUACAUUUUAAAAAUUAUAUAUUUUAUUUGGUUUGUAUUGUUGAAAACUUGAAGAAAAAAGAAGGAAAGGCACAGCACGUGUGAGGGUUUUGAGAGGUGUGUUACGCGUUGCGUGUGAAGUGACUGGGAACACGUGGGAAAGGUGCGCGUGAGGAUUGCGUGGGGCACUGUGGCAACCCUCUCAGCGCCUCACAUUUUUGCGUAUAAUCUUCACUCACAUUUUCUUGCCAUAAAAGUAACAAACAAGUCAGUUUCUUGAGGCCAACAUGUGCAAAAGGUGAACCCCAUAAUGGAAUCACUUUUCUCUACAAUAAUUACCUCUUUUAAAUGUUAUGUAAAUCACUUUUCUUUAUUUUUAAAAACUCACUAUGAAAUCAUGUAAUUUAUAAUUAUCAAUACCUUGUAGAGAAGGAAACAAAUUAAUAAAAGUUAAAUAUGUUUUCGGUAUUUGUAUUAUAAUGUGAAAUUGAUUUUUGUUUUUAGUUUAAACGUUAGAUUUUCUUGAUACUUAUAAUUAAAAACUAUUAGAAUGAAUGUGUGGAUUAAGAUGUUAAAAUAUUUUAAGUUGAUAUAAAUGUUAUAAUAUUAUAAUAUAAUUCAUGCUGAAAUUUUUAUUCGUAUUUAUUUAAUUAUUUUUAAUAUAUUUUAAAGACACAAGAGAAAGUAACUCGUUUAUUUUGGUUUAUACAAUAGUUAUAUUUAGUUUUAAAAUAGUGUUUUCAAAAAUUAAAAAAAAAAUAUAUUAUUUUUAAGUUAUGGUCUAUAGUUUGAGUUGAUAAUAUAGUUUUCAUUGUAGGGAGACAAAUAUUAUUAUUUUUAAUUAAUGAGGAUAAAGUUAAUAAAUAAUAAUAAUGGAGGCUUCAAAGCAACAAGAAUAUUGAAAAUGUUUGAAUAAGUUUCUUAAAUAUUUUUUUUCGUAAAUUCAAGUUAAACAUCACUAUAAAAAUUUUAACAUUUCAGUUAGACUAACAUUUCAAACCUUAACAAUCAUUUAUCAAUACAUAAAACAAGUCAUUACAUAAAUUAAUAAGGAAAAAAAAACAAUAAUAGAUAAAACCAUGCAAAAAAAUACAAAAAAACUCCAUGUAACCUAGACAAAAAAGAUACAUAGGGAGUUUAUACAUACUACAGAACAAAUCAAAGUAAAUGUUAGAGGGCAAACUCAUAUACCAAACAAACUUAAGUUGGUUAAGCAAAUUUAUAUGAGCAAACUUAUCACUACAAUGAUUACUCUCCCUAAAAAUAUGAGACUUUAAACUCAAAUUUAUUACAAAAAGACAAACAUUUAUUUCAUACACUACAUAGUUCAAUGAACAAGAGAAAAUAAGGCGUAUUGUGAUAAAAUCGCUCUUCAGCCGUAAGUGACAUAUCCAACAUGUUGAACUUGUUAAAUAAUAAUGAUCCUCCCUAAAAAUAUGAGACUUUAAACUCAAAUUUAUUACAAAAAGACAAAUAUUUAUUUCAUACACUACAUAGUUCAAUGAACAAUAUGCAUAUGCAUACAAGAGAAAAUAAGACGUAUUGUGAUAAAAUCACUCUUCAGCCAUAGAUGACGAUAUCCAACAUGUUGAACUUGUUCAAUAAUAAUGAUAACUUUCAUAAAUUCAGUAAAAAAAAAUGACUCAACCCCGAGAAAUGAAGAAAAAACCACCAACAAAAUCUUCCAUAUUACCUCUUAAAAUUCCAGCAAAGACAAGGAGACUUUAAAAACUUAUAACAGCACUAUCAACUUUAAUAAUAUAAUGAUUAAUUUUUUUUAAAUAAUAAUAAUUUAAUAAUUUUUUUAUAGUAAUAACAAUACUUAAUUAUAGUGCUAAUGAAUUAUUUAAUGUAUUUGCUUGUCAAAUGAAGUAUUCUGAAAAUUAAACAAUUUAAAUCCAUAAUUUUCUUAAAAAAUAAAUAAAAGCUUUCGUUCCAUUUCCUUCAGAAUUUUUACCACACAAAUUCCAAAUUCUAACUUUGUUUUCUCACUUCUUUCCAUUAGAAACCAAUUACUUCUGGUUUUCUAUACUUCCUAACAUAGGAAUCCGAAAUUCUCAUGGUUAAAAAGUAAAUUUUAAGCCUAACUCAAUCCCAUAAAAUCGGUUUAUAAAAUUGAGGUUUGCACUCACUUAUAUACAAUGAAAAACUCUAAUCUUUAGUCGAUGUGGGAUCUUCAACACUUAUCCAUGAAAUUAUUAAUAAAUAAGGCUUAAAAAAAAUCAAUACGUUAAAAUGACCUUUUUUGCAGGCUGUUCACAUCCUCGAAAAGCCUAAUUCUGGUCCUUCAUUAUCUCUCUAUCGGGUCCCCAAGUGUUUUUAUUUCCAUCAUAACUUACCCAUUUUGUAAGGCAAAGAUAUUCAAAAAAGCAUGGCUAAAAUCAUCCGGUCUUGACAUGAAAAACUAUAGACUGGUUUGGAUUGAAGUGUUAUUGGAGUCAUUGAACACUUAAAAACUAGUAAGAAUGGUUUUUUUUUUUGUUUGUUAAUCUUUUUGCUAUGAUCUGAUAUAAUUUUUUAAUUAUCUUGUAGACGCUCAAAAGGAUUUUAGAGGAGAUUGCAGUUCUGUCUUAUCUUCUAUAAGGCUCAAACACUUCUCUUAAAUGACUGUAUCCAUGUCGGACACGCGUAUCGGUGUCGACACUCGUAGGACACUCAUAUAACACUUAUCGAUGAAGUGUUCAAUUCAAAAAAUAUUUGUUGGAUUUUUGAAAAUUCUAACACGGUUCUAACACAAUUUUAAAAGGUAUAAAUACAAUAAUUUUCUAAAAACUCAAAUUUAUUGUAUAAAUUUUUAUUAUGAUUAUAAAAAUAAGGAACAAAUUCUUUUGAACCAGUCAUGAAAAAUAUAUUUCUGCUCCCAAAAGAAUCUAAACAUACUUUUGCACAUAAAUAUUUAUUUUUAAUUUAUAUAAUUCAAAAUUAUAUAAUAUAUAGAUAUGUAUCCCCGUGUCCUACAUUUUAGAGAUUAUACGUAUCUCCAUAUCUAUAUCUGUGUCAUGUCAGUGUCCGUAUUCAUAUCUAUGCCACAUAGAGUUCUAUUGCCGGAAUAAUAUUUCAGCUAAUUUAAAGAUGGCAGUUCAAUAAAUCAUUUUUACUAUGACCAAACAAAACUCCUAAUUUGUUGUUAAUGUUGAUAUUGUGAGAAUAGCAGACAAAUGUGAUUAAUACAGUCACAGCUGUAAUGUUGUAACCAAAAGCUAUUUCCUUUUUUUCUCCAUGACAAUCUUCUUCAAGAAAUUGUCAAUUUUAAAAUAGAGUUAGAUUCAUUAUAUUUUGCACAAGUAAUUCUUUUUACUAGACUCAAUUUCUGUUGAUACUUAAACUCUAAUUAUUUAUAUAUUUUUAAAAAAUUUAACUUACAUCAAAUUGGUGAAAGUAAGUUAAAGACUAAUUGGUUUAUCUUUGACAAGUGCCUUAAUAAAUACCAUAAUGAUUAUUUGUUAAAACACUCAUUAAGUUUUGCAAUGCAACCAAGACUAAGAAGUUGCAUACCUUAUAUGGUAGUUACAAAAAUAUACUUUGACAUUAUGAAAAAAACACUCAUUAUAAAACAAAUAAAAUAUAAAACUAAUUUUUUUAUCAAGGUUAACAAAAUUAUAAAAAUUUACAAAAGUGUUAACAAAAUAUAAAUAUUUUAAAUAAAACAUCUAAGUUAACAAAAUUACUUUAAAUAACAAAAAUAAUUAUAAUGAUAAAAAUAAAUAAAUUUACUCAAUUAUUACAUCAUAGGUAUCCAAACAAUUAAAGAUUACAUAUUUAAAAUUGUUGUCUUAAAAAAAUGUUGUCUUACAAAUAAAGCAGUAGUUAAGUAAUAAGUAGUUAUAUUGACUUUCUUUAACUUCUUUAAAUUAGAGAGAAGGAAAAUAAGAGAGUAAAAAUGAAGGAGAAUUAAUUAUUUUUAAAAAAUAUGUUUAAAAAAAAUGGAACUCACGGGAAAAAAAAGUCAAUAUUAAUAAAUUGAUUGUUUUCUAUACCAUAUUAUUAGUGUAAAAUAUUAAGUGACUGUUUUAAUAAAUUAUUUAAUUCAAGAAUAUACUUUUAGAAAAAAAAGUCUUUUAAUUAAUUUUUUUAUUCAUAACACUUGAAAUCAACACCUAACUUAAAGGACCAAACAUCAUAUAACUUAGUCAACAAUUUAUUGUUACUUAAAUCUCAAUUAUGGCAUCUAUUAAUUAUAUCCAUAAUCUUUCCCAUCACCUCCUCCAUUUUUCUUCCAUUAUAAAAUUGACUAGAAUUAAAAUAGUAAUUAAAUAUAUAAAAAAAUACCAAUAGUAAUUAUGAUAAAAACAUUUUUUUUAAAAUUAAAUAAUAUUGAAAAACAUUUUUUUAUAUAUUUCUUCAAUUAAAUAAAUUUUAUUUGUACUUUUUUGUUCUUCUAUUUCUUUCUUAUCUAUAAAAAAGAAUUAUGUUUGGUAAAGGUAAUCAAUAUAUAUGUUGGAUGUAUAUUAUUGUUUGAGGGUGUGACCUCUCUGGUGGGGAUAUAACUGUAUUUGUUGGGUUUAUUUACCUUUGUUUGGGAUUUUAACUUGAUCUGUAAUACAAUGUUUGUUGGAUCCUUAGUUGGUAGGGUUCUAGGAAACCUGUUUUUAGAGUUUUGUAUAAGGGUUGAGACACACCUGAAGUGUCUUAUUUUAUUUUAUUUAUUCUUUGCUGAUAAAGAAAAAAUAAUCGAUAGAUAUAUGAUGACUAUUUUAUGUGAAGCAAUAUCAAAUAAAUAUGCUUUGAUGCAGCAUUUUUUACUAUUGUGUAUGACAUAUUUUCAAUAAUGUUUCCUGUUAAUAGAAAAACCCUAUUUAAUAAAUUCUAAUAAUUUGUUACUUCAGCUAAGAUUGAUAAAAAAAAUUAAACUCUCUAUAUUACUAAAAGGAUGCAUAUUCUUCAUUAAUAAGAGAAAAGAUAAAAGAAAUUAUUAAUAAAAUGUUUGAAAAAUACUAAUUUUUAUUUGUUACAGACAUAUUUGUCCCUCAUAUAUAUUAAAAUUAUCCUCUGAAGAAAAUGUCAGACUUCCAUGUGAAACUUCUGCAGCUUGAAGCUUUUUGUCUCUUACUUUUUCUGUUGUCAAUGAGAUAUCUUGAUCACAACUUUUACACAGUUGGGAUCUUUCAAUAUCUCAAAUCCUUUGCUAAUAUCUUCUAAUGGGACCACAUGAGUGGAUAGUUCAUCAAGAGGGAAUUCCUGUAAAUAAAUAAAAGAUAAAAUAUUAAUUUUACAAUUAGAUAUUGAAAAAUAUCUAUUUAUAAUUGUCAUCAAUAUAAUUUUAAAAUUAUCUUAUCUAGAUAAAAAAAAAUAGUUGUAAUUUUGAUACAUCGAUGUAUCAGCAUCCAUUACCAAAUUAUCACAUACAUAUGAAACUAUCACUUCCCCAUAAUUUUGAAUGUAUUCCUAAGAAAUGAAACUUGAUGAUAUUAGAUUUAUAAUUAGAAAAAUAAUAAUUUUUUAUUAAAAUUAAUCAAUUUUAAAAUUGUAUUGAUUAAAUCAUAGUUAUUGUUGAGUAUGAAGUUAGAACCAAUUGAGUUGGGUUGACUAAACACUAUGUUUGAAUGAAUGAAUUUAAUUAUUGUGUCUCCUCUACAAUCUCUAUUUAAGAGAUUUUUGUACUUGUAAUAAAAUUAUAACAUUAUAACAAAUAUAAUGAAAACCUAAUUAGUUGCAGAUUGACGACAAACCAGUUAAAUUCUGUGUUGUUUAUUUUCAGCAGUUGAUCCGUGAUUGGGUGUUGCUUCCGCGUGCAUUUUUUCAUCAAUUAUAAAUUAAUAUUUUUUAAUUUAUAGUUGUUAAAAUAACAUUUAACUCUCAAAAUAACAUUUUCCAAAAUACAUUAAAGAAAUAAUGUAGAAAAAUAAAUGUAAUUUAAUUAAUAAAAUGUAAAUGGUAGAGGGUUACCUUUUUGAGGCAUUUGUUAGCUACUAUGGCAAUAUCAGAUCUAACUUUUAGACCUCCAAAAGCUGAACCUUUCAUAGUUCUACCGAGAAGAAGGGAUAGCAUACCCAAGGACACAGUAGGUUCUGCUGGUAUUCCAACUACUACUGUUUU
rnacentral:lncRNA from 1 species